GAAGCAUGUUGAAUACUUUGAUGGCUUUUGACCAUGGCCUUCCUUAAUGAUUUGCUUUUUUACUUUUUCAUGAAGAAUUUCCAUAUCAGAUUCAACUUUCGGAGGUCCAGCAGCAUCUUGAGGUGGUUCCCCAUGCACAAAUGCAGUAUUUUCAGUAACUAUUUCAUUCUCAUCAACAAUUUCCAUAUCAGAUUCAACUUUCGGAGGUCCAGCAGCAUCUUGAGGUGGUUUCCCAUGCACAAAUGCAGUAUUUUCAGUACCUAUUUCAUUCUUAUCAUCUUCACCUGAGAUGAACAUACUUAUAAACUUCGUUACCCGGACUCGGCAAUUUGGGGUGCAGUACCUGUGCCGACACGGGAUACGGGUCAGAUCCGGAAAAGAACCAGCGGAAUCGACGGUGAGAGAGAACUGAGAUGAGAGGAGAGGAGAGGAAAGAAAAACUGAUCCGCAGAGAGGAGAGACAGAAGAGGGACGACGGUUGGGCGAAGAUGAUAGAAGAAAGGGAAAAGACUACUCAAAUAAAUGAGACUUUUUAACAAAAAUAAUAUUAAAAAAUUCAUUGGUUAAAUUCUACCUUUAGUCACUAAACUAUGAAUGAUUUUUUAUUCUGGUUACUAAACUAUUAUGUCUUUUUCUGUUCACAUUACUUAUGCCAAUCAAAAGCUCUCUUUCACUCUCUUAUCUAGUUCAAUUUUUUUCAUGAAAUAACAUUGGACGUUACGAAUUUACGAGUCAAAAUUCAAAUAGCUCUUUUUUAGCUUGCUGGCUAAACUUUUUAAAAAAAAAAUUUAACAGCCUAGUGACUUAAAUAAAAACUUUUAAAUAGUUCAGUAAGUUAAAUGAAAACUUUUGAAUGGUUUAAUAAUCCAAUUGCAACUUUCUUUUUGUUAAGUGACAAAAAAAAUAAUUUCCCAUAAUUUAGUGACUAGUGUAGUUACUUUUUUUUAUUGAUAUGCCAAUAACUUUUUUAGCAAAUGAUAUGUGAUAUAGAUUCGUGUUAAAAAAAAUUAUUAUUUUCCAAAUGUUCAAAUAAGUACAGAUGGACACAAUUUGGCCAGGUCACAUAAUUUUGAGGCCCAAAUAGUCACCAUUUAUAUCAAUUUGGAUUUUUAGAAGAUAAACUUUUUUAUUGAUAUCGUGUCAAAUUGCCAAAAUUGACAUAGUUGAUAGAUAUUUUGUCCAAAUUACUAUUAAGUGUCUCGAUUUGGACAUAGGCUCUAUAUAAACUUAUAAUUUUUAUUAUAAUUUAAGCUUAUAUAUUUUAUAUAUUAUAAUAUUAACGAAUUUAAAUUAUAAGCUUAAAUCACAAGAAUUGACUCAAUAUAAAUUGUUUUUUUUUCAUGCCUUAGUAUUGUUACUAUAAUGCCAAAUUAUUAUUUUGGUAUUAAUAAAUAUUCAACCUAGAGUAUAGUAAAAACAUGAUAAAAUAAUUUGUGUUAACCUAUUGUGAAUAUUAUGUUAUAUGAAUACUUUAUAAAUAAUAAUAUAAAUUGCUUUUAAAUUUUAAUUUGAAUAUAAAAAUGGAGUAAAUUUAUAAGCUAAAUUUUUUAGUGUUACUUAAAAAAGGUGGUUUCACUUAUGGUAAACAAACUUCCAGCUUAUGCACUAUUGUUUUAUUGGGAUGAGCUGAAUUCAAAUAAUAAUAGUACAUUUGGAAUGUAAAUUCAACACUUAACCAGACAAAGCCUUUCACAUUUUAACUCCAAUUUUACUACCUAGCCCUUCAAAUUCGACCAAGUUUUAUUUUUUAAAUUUCAAAUUUGGACUGUAAUAUUCAAUCACAUUGGGUAAAUUUGUACAACUAUAAGCACAGAUAUUAAUGUGUUCAAUAUAAACCUGUUAAAUUUUAGUUAUUGAAGUGUUUCAUGAGUAGAUUCGGCCUUAAGAUUUUAUUUGUGUUGAGGCCCCAACGCACAUGGAAAAAUGUGCUGAAUUCAACAGUAAUAAAAUGGAUCUUACAUGAAUCUUUCUUGUGGUAAAUAAUGUUGGGUUUGUAGUUCCAAUAGGGUCGGAAGCGUGUAAAUUAUUGUACUAAAAAAUCACACAAAGUUCAAUUCCCAGGGAAGAGAGGUGGAUCACAAGGAUCUCUUAAAUACCAAGUCUUUCCUUAGUCAGAAUAUUCCUUCUAACGUAAUUUAAUAGCACAAUUAAAUACUACUAUUAUACCCUCAAAUAUUGAAAGAAAAAUAGGACAAAAAGAACACAAGAGUUUUAACGAGGUUCGGUAAAUUAUACAUAUGUCCUCGGGCUACUAAAACCAGAUGAUAACUUUACUAUCUCCAAAAUAUUACAAACAAAUAGAAUUCCUUAAGAAUUCUCAAAUGGGAGAAGAGAGAAAACUAAGAGAGAAAGAUUGGUUGGGAUGAAUUGAAAUGAGAAAUGAGAAAGCCUAUUUAUAGUUGAGGUUCAAAGACCAAACAAUAAAUAGCCCAUUAUCUCAAGGACCAAAAAAAAAUUAUCCAUUGCCACUUUUCCAAAGUUGGUGGUUGUCAUUAUUGAUUGUCUCCCAUUAAUGUUAAUGGCAACCAUUAUUAAUUGUCUUCCAUUAAUGUUAACAAUCUCCACCUUGAAGAUUUGAUUAGGAUAAUCACAUCUUCACACACUUCCUUCAACUCCCCAAAUUCGAUAAAGCUAUCUUUUGUAGUGCCUACAAAUGCGCUCUCGAGCGCCAUACACCUGAAGGUGCUCAAAUUCUCAGGAUGUUAAUCAAGUUCAAACAAUGAUUAAACUUGAUUGUUGUUACCACCUUAGUCAUCAUAUCUGCGGGAUUAUCUGCUGUCGGAAUCUUCUGAAGUAGAAUUUUUCCUUUUUCAAAGACUUCCCGCACAAAGUGAUAUCUUACGUCGAUAUGCUUGGUUCUUGAAUGAUAGACUUGAUUUUUCGCUAAAUGAAUAGCGCUCUGACUGACACAAUAUAAACUUAUGUGACUUUGAACAACUCCAAGUCUUUCAACAAUCUAUUAAGCCAAAUAGCCUCCUUAACAGCUUCUGUAAUUGCCAUAUAUUCUGCCUCUGUAGUAGACACAGCUACUGUAGACUGUAAGGUAGACUUCCAACUCACUGGGGCUUUCGCAAGAGUAAACAGAUACCCCGUAGUUGAACAACGUUUAUCUAAAUCACCAGCAAAGUCGGAAUCAACAUAUCCAACUACAAACUGACCAAGUGCUUCAUCCUGUUCAAAAAUUAAACCAACAUCUACGGUUUUUCGAAGAUACCGUAGAAUCCAUUUCACAGCUUGCCAAUGUCCUUUUCCAAGAUCAUGCAUAUACCUGCUCACAACUCCAACAGCUUGUGAAAUGUCAUGCCGCGUACAUACCAUCGCAUACAUCAAACUCCCAACUGCAUUAGCAUAUGGGACUUUUGCCAUAUAUUCUCUUUCUUCUUUAGUCUUCGGGGAUAAUUGAGCACUAAGUUUCAAAUGAGAAGCAAGUGGGGUACUUACAUGUUUUGUAUUUUCAUUUACACAAAAACAUUGUAAUACCUUUUUCAAAUAUUGCUUCUGAUUCAAACAAAGCUUGCCUCUCUAUCUAUCUCUACUUAUCUCCAUACCGAGAAUCUUCUUGGCCUCACCUAGAUCUUUCAUCUCGAACUCUUGAUUCAACUGAGCCUUCAACUUAUCUAUCUCUUUUUGGCUCUUCGAAGCGAUUAACAUAUCAUCAACAUACAAGAGUAGAUAAAUGAAAGAUCCGUCAUGCAGCUUCUGCAAAUAUACACAAUUGUCAUAUUUGCUUCUUAUGUACUUCUGCCUUCUCAUAAAGCUAUCAAAUCGCUUGUACCACUGCCUCGGGGAUUGCUUCAAUCCAUAUAGCGAUUUGUUCAGCUUACAAACCCAAUUUCUACCACUAGCAUCUGUUUAAGAAAAACUCCAAGCACUUCAUCUUUAGUUUUCAUGGUAUACACCCAAACUCUUCUAGAAAAGUCAUCAACAAAAGUAACAAAGCAGUGUUUUCCUCCCAACGAAGGUGUUUUGGAAGGCCCCCACACAUCUGAGUGAAUGUAUUCCAAAAUACCUUUUGUAUUAUGGAUAGCAGUGCCGAAGUUCACUCUCUUUUGCUUUCCCAGAACACAAUGCUCGCAAAAUUUUAAUUUGUAAGCCUUUGCACCUUUCAACAAUCCUUGCUUUGCCAGAAUUUGCAAGGAUUUUUCGCUGGCAUGUCCCAACUUCAUAUGCCACAACUGUAUUGAGUCCAAUUUUUUGUUGCCGGAAGCUGCAGCGACUGCUCCAAUAACUGUACUACCUUGGUAGUAAUAGAAGUUAUUUUUCCUGAUGCCCUUCAAUAUCACAAGUGCGCCAGAUGUCACUUUCAAAACCUCAUCUCUCAUAGUAACAACUGAACCAUUGGAUUCCAGGGCUCCCAAUGAGAUGAGAUUUUUCUUCAAACUGGGCACGUACCGAACAUCAGUCAGAACUCUGGUUGAUCCAUCUUGAUUCUUUAAUUGGAUUGAACCUAUCCCAACAGUUUUACAGGCAUUGUCAUUGCCCAUAUAAACAACUCCUCCAUUUAGUUCUACUAAAUUAGAGAACCACUCCCGGUUAGGGGACAUAUGAUAGGUACAACCCGAAUCCAAUAUCCACUCAUCUGAAUGGAACGACGAUGAUGAUGCAACCAGUGAUAGUUCAGAGUCACUAGUAUCAUGCUUAGCAACACAAGCAUCUACAACAGCUUUUCCCUUAUUCUUCAGCUUUGGACAAUUUUUCUUCCAGUGGCCUUUCUCAUGACAAAAGGCACAUUCAUCUUUCCCGAGUCUGGACUUUGACUUUGAUCUCCCCUUUUGAGUUUUCUUCCGAGUGUAUGAACGAUCUCGGACUACUAAAGCUUCUGUAUCUCUGAUUGAGUUUUUCUGUUUAUCCUUCUUUCUCUGUUCAUAACUGUAUAAGGCCGCACAGACUUCGCUCAGAGAUAUAUCACUCCUGCCAUGAAGUAGAGUAGUUUCUAGAAACUCAAACUCCUCAGGAAGUGACCCCAACAGCAUCAAAGCCAAAUCUUCAUCUUUGAAUGUCUCAUCCAUAUUCAGCAAAUUAGUGACUAACUGAUUAAAUUUGGUGAUGUGAUCAUUCAUUGUGGUACUUGGGACGUAUGUGAAGCGAAACAGUCUUUUCUUCAAGUGGAGCUUAUUUUGACUGUUUUUCUUCAAAAAAUUUUCUUCAAGUGCCACCUACAACUUAUUUGCAGAAGUCUCCUUUGAAAAAGCAUACCUCUACUCUCGAGAAAGGCAUGAUCGAAUUGUGCCACAUGCCAACCGAUUGAUCGCCUUCUAAUCUUUCUCCUGUACAUCAUCUGGUUUCUCUUCAUCAAUGGCAAUGUCUAGACACUGCUGAAAAAGGGCAUCUAGAACCUCACUUUGCCACAUACCAAAAUGGCCCGUGCCAUCAAAGAUCUCCACGGCCAAUCUUGCAUUUGCAAUUGUCGGUCUUGUCCACAUGGCGAUGUUGAAGCUCCUACACCGACCAUUUUCUCCAUAAUCUUUCAAUAUACCUAAGGAAAUCUUUUCUGAUGUGGAAGAUUAGUUUAAACUGCAACCACAGAGCAUACUACGAUUAACCUUCGACUCUUGAUACCACUUGUAGUUCCAAUAGGGUCGGAAGCGUGUAAAUUAUUGUACUAAAAAAUCACACAAAGUUCAAUUCCCAGGGAAGAGAGGUGGAUCACAAGGAUCUCUUAAAUACCAAGUCUUUCCUUAGUCAGAAUAUUCCUUCUAACGUAAUUUAAUAGCACAAUUAAAUACUACUAUUAUACCCUCAAAUAUUGAAAGAAAAAUAGGACAAAAAGAACACAAGAGUUUUAACGAGGUUCGGUAAAUUAUACCUAUGUCCUCGGGCUACUAAAACCAGAUGAUAACUUUACUAUCUCCAAAAUAUUACAAACAAAUAGAAUUCCUUAAGAAUUCUCAAAUGGGAGAAGAGAGAAAACUAAGAGAGAAAGAUUAGUUGGGAUUAAUUGAAAUGAGAAAUGAGAAGGCCUAUUUAUAGUUGAGGUUCAAGGACUAAACAAUAAAUAGCCCAUUAUCUCAAUGACAAAAAAAAAAUUAUCCCUUCCCACUUUUUCAAAGUUGGUGGUUGUCAUUAUUGAUUGAUGUUAAUGGCAACCAUUAUUAAUUGUCUUCCAUUAAUGUUAACAGGGUUGGCAGCGUGCGGGAAAGAAAAAUGGAGGCUAAAAUCAGCAAGAUGAUGGUGCAUAUUUGGCAGACCACAACCAGCGGUUUUUUGAAAUUGUAGAGCCGAAAGCUUUUUCCAUCUUUAUUUAUUAUAAAAAGAAACUGGAUUAUAGUUCAAUGGUUUUAUGAUCACAAAUGCACAUGCAGCUGAUCUCUACAAUUGCAGAAAUCAUUUUAACUCUUUAAUGCAAUUAUUAACACAAUCAAUGUCCAUAUAAUUUGUACUACUGCUGCUGCUAUUAGUACUACAGCAGUAACUUUCAUCCCACAUUAGCACUACAAGAUCACAAAUAUCAUCCAUAUCAUAAAGUUGAAUGCAAUACUCAAAAUUUAUCGUAGUUAAGCUGUAAAACAAACACUUAUGGACAGUAAAGAAGAGAUAAUCAUACUACAAAUUUACUAUGAGAAAAUUUUUACAGCUUAGAACAUACCUAUAAUGUCACCGCAGCAUCAGUUCCAAAGUUAUGUUUCUACCACUAGAGAAGUUCAAGAUGGACCACCUGAAAAGCUAACUACUACUCGAUCAUCUGUGAAUUAUUACCGGUAUGUUCGUGUGAUACGGAUCUGAUGGGAAAAAAAGAAUGUUAGAACUUCAAAUUCAACAUUCUUGCAUAUAUUAUAUAAUCAUCUUAUAAAUCUCAUAGUAAAGGCAACAUUUUGUAAAUGUCGCUUUGGUAGACACAAAUUCUUAUGAAGUUGUGAGUUCUAGUAGUUUGAAGCCAACAUUACAGCUUAAACUUCAAAAAUGCUGGUAAAUAAUUGGCUUCCAAAAGUAUAUCGGGAAACACAUAAUAUUUAUUUAAAUCGCAAGACCAAAAAACUGACAUGUAAAUGUUGCGAUCUAUUUUUAGGGAGUGUUAGACACCAGAGAAUAAUUGGAUAAAAGUGUAACUAUUAAAGUAGUAAUUAAACUCUCUUUUAAUCAUAAAGAAUUCUAAUUCUCUAGACAUGUUUAGCUGACAAAAUGUAAUUAUCUCAAUUUGGUAGCAUAAAUUGUAAUUACACUACAUAAUUUUAAAUUCUAGAAAGAAGAAUAUAAAUUAUUAAAAUUAUCAAUAAUAUUUAAAGAAAAAAAAUCCCUAAACAAGUAACAAAUAGAACCAAAUCAUUGUAUGCAGUAUAUUGGUCCAAUAAAGUAUCCAACAAUACAAUUACUAACAAAAUUAACAAAAAAUUUCUAUAGAAUUUUUAUUUAAUUAUUUUAGCAUUCCAUAUUUGUUGAGUUAUUCCCUCUCUAACAGUAAACAUAAAUUCCUUAUUAUCAUCGGUUGGUCUUUAGCCAAGUAUAAAUAAUUAAUAUAUGUAAAUUAGUUAAAUAUUUAGUAGAACAAAAUGCAUGAAAAAUUAUCUUUUGUCAAUAAAAUUUUUAGAUUAUUUAAACAAGGCUAUUAAAAUAACAUUAAUUAUAUUUUAAAAAUAAAAUAUGUCCUAAAAUUAAAAUAAAAUUAUUAUAUAUAAAAAAAACUUAAACUCAAGUUAUGUACCGAAUGUGUUUGAAAACCAUUUGGUAACUACAUUUGAGUGUAAUUAGUUGUAAUCGCCCGAGUAAGUACCUCAAUUCUCACUCCCCCACUAAGACACUCAAUUCAAUGGAUCCCAAUAAUCACAAGAGUUACCUCAACAUGUCAUACAUGUGUAAUUACAAACAAUUAUACUCGAAUCAAGUUACAUAGUGACCUUCUAAACACACCCUUAGUAUUUAUUCAUAUUUGAAGCUGUUGACAUCAAUUAGUUGAUUCAGGUUUAAACUGCUAGGUUCACUGUCAAUAGAGGUAAAAAGCCAGCCCAAUAUCUGUGAAGGUAAAUUUGUGCUUUUAAUUGUUUAAUAUUGUCCUAACCCUGGGCUAAUAGGUCAUUAGUCUGACAACCAAUGUAAUCCAGAUUCAUGACUACACUUCCAGAAAUUUACAUCUUUUACACCUCAUCUUAAAUCUCAUUUAAUGUAAAAUAGAUGCUAGGAUUACAAUCUUGUAUACCAUUGUUAUAUUUUCCAACUUUAGGCAAACAAGUCUGCUUAAGACUAAAACUUGCAGCUGCUUUUAAUUUACUCCACCACUAGCUUUAAUGAAAAGUUGCUUUCAAGCUACUUUCAUUGUUCCAGUUCAUACACAAUUUGGCAUAUGAAAAGCUCUUAUCAAAUUACACAUAUGCCAAGAAAAUUAUAUUCCUUAAAAAUGAUCAAAUUAUAUCUAUUGUGGAUUUGUCAAUAAGAUAAACUUUGACACUCCAUCUCAUCACAACACAUUACAAAAGCACACUUUCACCACAGUUUUCCAUCAUGAUGUUCGGACAAAUUUUCCAUCCUUAAAUUUCCCACCACAAUUUUCAACUUAACUGAGGUGCCAAACUAAGCCAAAUUAAUAUUGAAAUAGUCAUGAUACUAUGACCUCAUUGAAAUACAACAAUAACAGUUGGUCCAAAAACCUAUAACUUUUAACCCUAGUAUUUGACAAAGUGAUACCAAUUUGGAUUUUAGACUUUAUAAUAUAACUUUUCUCCAACAUAUCUUCUGACAGCAAUAAACAAAUCUGAUAUGUCAAUAGACCUAAUGGACAAGAGGAUGAAUAAGCACAACAAUUCGAGCAGGUCACGUGUAUUUUCCAUAUGAUCCCUUCCUCAAGACUGUUCAUACAUCAUUAUUAGGUUGUACCAAUUUCUUUCCCUACUUAGACUGUACCAGGGACAAGACAAUAUACGUAAUACAUAUAAAUUUCCGACUUCACUUCAACUUCAGUUAUCAUAAACAUCAUUCCAUUAAUAAUUUAUUAUUAAAAAAUGCCAAACUUCUACUAAGUUAAAAUGAGAUAUAUUGAUAGAAGAUCCAAAUGACACAUUUAUUUGGCAAGAAAUAGUACAACAUCUAGGCAUGCAUAUAAUAAAGUGGCAACAAUACCUGUGCAAAUCCAUAGAUAGCUCGCAAAAUUCUAGCAUAAUCAGUUCCUAGCAUCUGAAUGACAACGUCAGCCAGAAAUGUUCCCCAAAACCUAUAUUACAAGAAAUACAAUCAAACUUGAAGAAGAACAAGCUAUAUUGGUAAUAGCAACACAGGUGGAACUUUUUUACAAGUUCGAUGAAUAAGAUGACAAUAGCUUAUGAUAAUUUGCUACAAAUUGAUUAGACGUCAAUUAUUAUAUCUUGACACUGGAGUCAUUAAUUAUUAUUUUUAAAGAGAUAUUAGCUUAUUUUUUAUUAGAUCUUUAAUUAAAGUAUCUUUAUAGUAUUAGCUUCUUUUAAUUUCUUUAGCUUAAGCCUUUUAUUCAAACAAGUAGACCUAUGUAACCUCUAUUUAAGAGGCAGAUCGACAGCAAUAAAAUUAAGUCAAAGUAAUUCACUUUUAAGAGGUUUAAGACUCUCUAAUGAGUCUAAGAUAAGAGACCAUUUGAAUAGUUUCACACUUUUACCACAGGACAUUUGCGUCGAAGAAACAGAACAAGGGAGAAAGCCCCACUAAGUUAAACAAUUUUCCUACGAAUCAUUUGGAGACUUGCUCCGUAACUCAAGAUAGAGCAAUUUGACACAAAACUGGAAGAAGAAUCUAGGAAGGCUGAAAGCAGUGACAAGUUGGGCAAUAAGCUAUUGCAGCAAUUGUCAUUGCAGAUACAAUAAUUGAUGGCUUCCAACUAGAACCGUGAAAAAGAAAAAGAGUAACAGAGGAAACAACAGUGUCAACUAAACAGGUAGUCAACCGAAUAGGCAAGAGAAUAAGAUAAAGAGUCAAAAGGCGGGUCGAGAAUAGUGCCAUGAUAUACAAAAUUAAACUUUCCAACCUUUUAUGGUAUGGAAGAUUCAUUGAUUUAGCUACACAGGUGUUAGAGACUUUUCUCAAAUCAGAACAACUGAGGUAGAUAAAGAGGGAUUGGUUUUCACAUGACAGAAGAAACACAGUUGUGGUCUUACCAAAUGGAAAAGGAGGAACCCAAUCUCUUAUGGGCUUGUUGGGUCACCUGAGCACCUUCAGUGCAUCGGGAAAACAAUUUACAACAAACCCGCAUCAUGGAUCCAUGUGCAAGAUAACAUAUCCGAUAUAAAGAAGGUUCAAAAUAUACCUUCAAAAGAUCUGAGUAGACAGACUCGGGUUUACCAAAAAGCGUUUAGUGCAAAGGUCAAACCGAAAAGCCACAACUUUUUCAUUCCGACAUCUACUAUAUCCACUCAACGAACAUGAACAGAACACUCUCUUAAAUCUUUCAGAGAGUCAUCUAGAAAAACCCUUGUGUGCUAAGCAGAGUAUUUCGGGGUGAAAAGGUAAAAGAUGGGAUAAUUGAUUUAUCCUUUUAUCAAAACUCCCUUUUGAGUAACCAUAGUCCAUAAAUCACUUUGAGGAUAUUAAGGAAAAUCAAAUCAAACGUGAUAUCCUCUUAACGUGAUAUCAGUUUAAUUUAUUUCCAAAAAUAAUCUCUUAAUCAAAAUCUAAUAAAUACUCUAUUUAAUAAUUUCCAGAAAGCAGAUUAAUUCCAUUUUAAAAGCUUUAAGACUCUCUCUAAUGAGUUUAAGGUAAGGGACUCCCUUUAAAAGAGUUCCACACAUUCACCAUAAGGCAUUCGCGUGAAAGAAACAAAACAAUGGGAAAAGUCACGCUAAGUUAAACAAUUUUCCUAGGAAUCGUAUGGUGGCUCAGUCCGUAACUAGGGACCAUAAACAAAAAGGUGUGCUAGAGUAUCAAUCAUGAGUCAGUAAGCUAUAAAGAAGUUGGUUUGUUGAAGACUAGUAUCAUAGUUUUAUUGAUAGGAAAAAAAGGAGGCGACAAUCAUAUCUCUCUAUGAUGCACAUUAAGCUUUAAACUUAUGAAUAUUGAGAAGAUGGGUUUGCAUCAAACAAAAUUCUCUAGCAAGCCAAGAACAACAAAAUUUAAUAUGCAAGGAAAAAGUAAAUGAUAAAAAUUUAAACAGAAAAGAGUCAAUACAGUGGGCCAAACAAAUUCAUCAUACUCCUCAAGCCCACAUAUCUGGAUGCAGCACCCACAAAGCCCUGUCCAUGAUUAGAGGGCAGACAAACAAGAAGAUGUCAAACUAUAAUACCAGGUGCGCAACACCUAUCAUAUAGUUUACAAUGCAUAAAACAAACAACUCACACAUAUUAGCUUUGCAACUAUUCAUAAAUAAUGAUGAAGUAAUGCUCUCUCCAUAAAAAAUAUUUUAACAAAAAUUACCACAUUUAACCCAAAGAAAAUCAAUAUAUACCACGUAGACUUAACUUUAAGACUAAUACUAUGGUAGAGGUUAUCACUUAAUAUUUUAGUAUAUAGUAGAGCAUAGGUUGUAACUUGAUAUAUUGCCAAUCAUGCCAAUGGCUUAGUGGCAAACUUGUGUGGGUUUCAAGUUGAUUGGCAUGAGUAUAGGUUUUGAUCAUUGUGUUUGUAAACCUUUCCCCCUUUCCCCAUUGUAAUGUAAUUGUUCACUUGUAUCAAAUAAAAACUUGAUAUAUUAAUAUCCAAGCACAUGCAUAGCCAAACAGGGGAGAAAGCAAAAUGCAUAAACUAAGAAAGUAGCACGUACAUUUGCACCCAUAAAAUCGAAUUUAUUCAUUAGUAAUUUUAGAUUAUUUUCCAUAUGACAGUAUAUAUUAAAAAGAAGGAACUUUAUAUUCUAUCAUGAUGAUGAUAAAAUUACCUGCUUAGCCGCAAGCAAGGCCGCUCUUGACUCUACACUGGUAGCAACUACCUGCCCCCCCUAGAAGCCAUGAAAGCAAGAAAGUAAGUUGAGAGUUUCAAAGCUAAAUUAUGCUAUACAUUCUAUCAUCUCAGUUACAUCGAUAUAAAGAGGGUUGUAGAUUGAUACAUGAUAACUAAAAAAAUAACAAAAUAAUAGGAAAACACUUUUAAAUCUUUCAGGAACAUUACAUAAUUUUCAUUAAUCAAACAAUAAAGAUAUACAUUUACAUCAUAAUCAAGAAAGUAGAACACAUUUAGAACAAAUAGAUAAGUAGCAGAAAAAUGAUUUGCUCUUCUUACAUUCAAGAAUGCAGGAAAGAAUAAAAGCAUUAUCACCUACCCUUGAUAAAUAAACUAUUCUAGGAAGAACACAGGGAGAGACAAGUACAUGCUGAAAUAUUACCUUCUGCCCUCCAUGCAAGGAGAAGAAACACAGAAGAUGAUUGCCUUGCAUAUAGCAGUAGCAUGAAAAAAAGGGGAGGUUGGAGGGUAAUGUUCACCCAAAAAUGACCAGACAAGGUUAAAAUUCAAAUCUAAAAACCAAAGUAACUCAAAUUUAUUACAACCUAUUUAGUUGACACCUCUAGUUGUUACGAAGGUUGGGUACAUUUUUAAACAAAAAAUAUGUGGAAUUCUAGUAUUGAGUAAAAUACAAAUCCUCAUAAUUCAUCCAUAGAUCAAUUCCUUCAACAACUAGAAAGUUAUGAAUUCAAUUGGCACCUUUUUAAGAGCUUCCUUUUUCAUCAAAUAGUUGGCAGCUUCUAGGAACACCUUUCCAGACAAUUUCUUCGUCAACUACCACAAACAACAAAUAAAGCUCAAUAAAAUAACGAACAAUGCAAGAUAAAACAUAAACUACUAUAAAGUCAAUAUCUUACCAAUUGAUAAAGUUUUGCCAAAGUAACUAUACCACCACCCUAAACAAAGAGAAGGAAUGAACUACGUAUCAAUUUAUAUUAAGAAUCAAAAUAAUCAUUAACAAAUUAAGCUGGACUAAAAAAAAGUAUGAAUACCUUCAAAACCAUUGAUUGGAAUUCUGUUGCCCCAACCUUACCAGCAGCAAGGACCUGCACCUUCCACUGGCUAAGUCCCAACUCUAGACUAUUUUGGAUGUUGGAAAUAUUAUUAUUUUCCCAUAAGCCUGGAAAAGUUCCUGAUUCUUCACUAAACAAGGCAGCACAAAAUAAAAGUUACCAUUGUGCAUGUAUAGAACUGAGUUUUUUCGUCUAUCUCUACCUUAAGCAAAUUGAUUUCAAUAAUACAUUAGAAAUUAAAAAAGAAACAAGCUAAAAUAGUUGUCUAGUUUGUUCAGAAUUUAGAUAAAAAAGGAUUUCAAAACUUAGUUAUUUACCAGUUUAAUUGAAUCUCUUUAUAAACAGUUUUGGUCAUCAUAUUGCAGUAAUAGUGGAGGUGUAAAGUGAGAAACACUUUCCAAACCUAAACAGACCCAUAAACUUAUCCUCAAUUUUGGCUGGCAAUGAAUUCACUUACUGUGGUCCUUGAUCUCACGAUUUUGUACUCACCAAGAACUUUAUGAGGAUAAAUUUUGCUAAACAUUGAGAUUGAAUGAGGUUACCUAGAGUAAUUCCUCAAUAGAUGAAGGAAAAUCUCUGCUUCCAGAUCUUCAGUGGACAAUUUGCUUGAGCAAGGAAUGUUCAACUUCUUCCUCACAGAAAGCAGGACAUUUCUGUAUGACGGCCUCCAACCCCUAAUCAGAAGAUCAAACGGGAUCGGUGAGAUGCCUAUCAAAACAGAAACUCAGCUGACACCAAAAGAAAUAAAAAUUGUCACUCUCUACCAUCAGCAACUAUCAUAUGCUUGAUUUGGUUUCAGCGAAGUGUCUUAGAUAACUAGCAAUGCAAACAGGCAUCCAACAAGACCAAAUUUAUGAAAGCAAUCGAAGGCACUGACCUCAAUGUCGAUCGGGCAUCAGCAGCAAGGAAUAAGAAGCGUGAUUCAAGGCCUGCUAUAAAAGCAUCUCGCUCCUCAACAUUCUCUUCAAUCAUCAUAUCCUCCACAUCAUCUUUAUUCAGUAUAGACUUUAAUAAGGGACUAAAGUAGCUGAAAUUCGUAACAAAAUUACAAAAAAUUUCAAAUAAGAAAUUGUUUUAAAUAAAAACCUGAAUUUCAGAGCAAUCAAAACCAAGCGAAAUCGGAAACCUGGGACCAAAUAGGAUUCUUUGAAGCUCAUAUAACUCUUCAUCUGUAGCUAGUUCAAGCACAACUCGAAGCUCCGGAUCGUAUUCAUUUGCAACUGAAACCCAAAAUUCUAAACAAAAUUUAAAGCAGAUCCUUUUAGGGGGGAAAAAAACAAAGGUAUCAAAAAAAGGACCUUGACCAUGUCUUGACACCGCGGCAUUACUACAACCCAGCAGCCGUACCGCAUUCGCGCGCCUAGGCCAAGCCAUAUUCUUAAAUGUUCAAACAAAGUAAAAUUAUGAGAAAAAGAAAUCGAAAAAGAUAAUAAAUUAGUGAAAGUUGGAAGUGUCUUACUGAGAAAGAGGAAGAGAAUGAGAGGCUAGUGGUAGUGGCGGCGAGGGGAAUAAAGGAAGAUAGGUAAAGAGCCAUUUUCAAGAAUUCUAGUUGUAUUACUAUCAAACAGUGAAUCUCAUUUCCACUGCUAAAGAAGCAAAUGUUGAUAUUGAUUUGCAGUUUGUUUUUUUUUUUUUUUAAUUGAUUUUCGAACCACGAAACUGGAAGUAUUAUGGGAAGAAAUUCAACUGAUUCCGGUUGUCGUUUUUAUAUUAGUAAAAUACUCGCCUCAAAUUUUAGGUCAGCUGAUUAUCAAUUUUUUUAAUUAAGUAAAAUCUUUAUUUUCCUAAUUUUAUUAAUUUUAAAUUCAAUUUAUAAUUUGAGAAUAUUAAUUUUUUUCAGCGAGUUGAGCCGAAAAUUGAGCAAAACUUCAUAUCUGCCGAAUGCAAUGUUUUUCACCUUUUACAGAAUUAAAUUAUAGAUUUUUUUUAGAUUAAAACAUUUUUUAUUAUUUUCAAAAAUAUAAUUUAUUAAAUAUUAUUUUUAUUAUUUAAAAAAAUCAAAUACUUUUUAAAUUUUAGAGAUUCUAUGUUAAUUUAUAAUUUAAUCAAGCUAAAUCAAAAUUUUCUAGUUGAGAGAACCUUGAGUUAGAAUUUUACAAGGAGAAAACUUCUCCCCUUUAUGCUAUCUCCCUCUCUAGUAAGAAUGGUUACCCUAGUUUUUCUCUUUUUGUUACUCUCUUCCGUGAGUAGGAUAGUAAUGGGUGGGAUAGGUAGAACUUUAGCCCUCUACAAUCUCAAUCUAAAAUUUAAAGUCAUUUUUAAAAGUACUUUUGUGUCAAGAAGCAUUUUAAGCAAAAACUAAAAUUUUUUUGCUUUACUUUCGGUAAAAAAAAACACGUCCUAAAAAAUAUUUUUAAAAAAUUUAAAAAUAUAUUAUUUAACAAUAUUUUUAUCUCAAUAGUAUUUUUUAAAAGUAAUGCUAAACUGACUCAUAGUCAUAUAUCUUGUUCUCAAUCUUUUAAAAAGAAAUAUCCUUAAAAUUAAAUAAAAAAAUUCAACCUCAUUUUAACCCAAAUCUUUUAGCAAAUUCAAUACUUCUACAAUUCCACCAAUUCUAGUCAUUUGAUAUUUACAAGAAAAAUAAGUUAAAAAAAUAAAAAAAGAAAUGAAAAAACUGUCAAAAUCAAUCAUAACUUAUGAACAUGGAAGAGAUCAAAGUAUCCAACAUCUAAGAAUUUAUAUAUACAUAUAUAUAAUUGAGGAAAAAAUUAUUUUUCAUAGGAACACACUUAGGUACCCCAAAGAAGACCCCAAACUCAAAAAUAAGGUUGUGAUUUAUACAAGGAAGUUAAGCACACUUACAUAUCAUCCAUGAACUUUGCAACCACGACAUGCAGGAGACUAAUAACAACAAUGGCAUUAUGAAUUAAGUAGGCUAAUUUUUCAAAAUGUAAAAUAGAACACAAAAAUAGCAAAAUAUAAGUGAAGAAGGAGAGGAGGCAAACGAUUAGAUGAGGAUGGAGGAGAUCAGGGUAACCUCAAAACUUAAUACCUGUAUAUAUUCAAGUAGGGACAGGAUGAGUAUACUCCAAAUUUAAUCCUAAUUAUAUAUUUUUUUAAAAUUAACCCGACUUAAUUUUAAAAAUUUUACUUUAAUAAAUCAAGUCAAGUUAGAAAUUGUUGAUUCGGAAUUUUUUACAUCCCAAUGCGUGAGCAUGUGUGUAUCAUUUUCUCCCCCUCCCCAUUCACCUUCUUCAUAUUCGUUGAACCUUAACCCUAAUCCUUUUAAUCACUAUUAAUAAUUAUGUUCCUACCUCACUCUAAUAAUUAAUCUUCCUGACCCCUUCACAUAUAGAUUUCAUCGAUUCUUUUCUGCUCUUAAUCUCAGCAUUUAUUAUUAUUAUUUUCCUGCCUUAACCUAACUUAAAUCCACCCUUUUUGUUUUCCUCAUUCUUCCUCGUCCUUCAUAUUGAUUUUCUUUCCCUUGGUCAUUCAAUCAUGCCCUCAUUCAAAACCUCAAAAUUUCAAGACCUUAAAAUGCAAUUUUACAUUUUAAGGGGGCCGAGGCCCAUGCCAGCCUCACUGGCUUCGCCUCUGCACCUAUUCUUAUUCUCUAAACUCAUCUUGUUCAUCAAAACUAUUAUAAAUCGUGAAGAAAACAUAAAAAAAUGUUUUGCAGUGAAAUUUCAAAAUAUAUUUUCAUAAAAUGAAUCGACUUAUGAUGUUUAAAUAAUAAAUUUAAUCAAAUAAAUUACAUGUUUGCAUGUAUGUUCGAUGUUGCAGGGAGAUUGGGAAUCACAAGUUGUCUUUGGACAGAUUCUCAAACUUUCCAAUCAAUCAUUAUUGAAAAUCUAAUUGUUUCAAACUUUCAACUAAAUGAUCUUUUUCACUAUUUUGGAAAUCAUGGAUGCUUGGAGAGCGGGUCCAAUCUGAAACUUUGAACACAUGAUAAAUCACAAAAUUCCUAACUAGGUUUGUGCAAUCCCUCCCUUAAACACCUUGUAUGCUACUAGAUCUCAAAUUUUAGUUGCUUAAAUACAAUUAUAGUUCUUAACUAAUCUCGAAGCAAUAACUCAGGAAAAAUUGUCUAUUUUUACAAAAGAAAAAAUUGCAAUAAUAAAUCUCUCUAAAUUUCAACAAAGUAAUCUAAAGAUGUUUUCUUACUUGGUGUGGUUAGCUAGCAUGUGUAUCUACAGAGGGGAGAAAUUUCAACUUAUAAGAUAUAGGAGUGUCGACUUUUCGUAUCCCAUGAAUUUUAUUUUGUUUUUGAAAUCUUCUAGUCUCCAUGGGUAAUUAACCAUAAAGGGGAAGAAUAGCCAAAAUAUCAUUUUUCUUUUCUUUUAAUUCUUUUAAAUUGGGUCAAAGUCAACUCAAUGAGUGGCCCAUAUUAAUCGCUUGUUUUCAUUAAAAUCUAAUGGUUCAAAAUGCUUCUCAACAUGUACCCUUAUAAAAAAAUACUUCUCAACAUCAACACAUUUUCCUUUUAAUACUCCAAAAUAUGUCACAUGAAAGGUCCAAAUUACCCAUUUAUUAAUCCUAUAUUCAAUUUACUACAAUAAUUCUCUUUAUGGAAAAAUUAUACUUUAGUCUCUAUUCUUUUACUUUCAUUCAAUUUAGUCCAUACAUUUAUUCUAAUUCCUUAUAGCAAUAUAUUUUCUAUAUCUCUUUCAUACCAAUAAUAAUUAUUAAACCACUCUUUUUCUUCUUAACAAUCAAUAUGUACCCUAAUCCUUACAUUUUCUCCAAAUAUCAAUUUAAUCAUUUUUUUGUAAUUUUAAUCUCACACUCGUCCUUGCAAAUUUCCUUUCCCAAAAAUCUAAUUAAUUCAUUUAAAAUAUAUCCAUUUAAACUAUUCUCAUAAAUUCUAUUGUACAUGUACCCAAAACAAUACUAUUUACUGUACCGAAAUUUGGGGCGUUACACCAUUUACUAAGUAUGCAUGCCUCAUUUGAACAUUUUAUGGCACUUAGCACUUUAGUUUAAUAUAUAUUUUUCCCACACAAAGAACUCACCUAAUGAUUCUUACAUUCAUGCAUGUUUGUGUUGUUUUUAGUUAUUUAUGCAUAUUUUAUGUUUGUACAUGUGUUAGUAUACUUUGUAUAGGAUUUAAAUAGUUUAUAUAGGGUUUUAGGCUUAGUUUUAGGCUUUUUAUUGCACUUUUGCUACAGGGUAUCGAUACCAACUAUGAGGUAUCAAUGCCUCUGCCUAUAAAUGACCGUUUGAUCAUUUUUUAUAUUCGAUACCAAUACACAUACAUAUGUGUUGAUACCACUGGCCCUAGCAGCAUUUAGGUGAUUUUUUAGGUUCUUAGGUACAUAUAAGGGUGGAGUAUCUUAGCUUAAAUUUUUCAAUGAAAUUGAAAAUAUUUUGUGUUUUAAUGAUCUUUAUUGAAAACAUUUGACUUUUCAAGAAAUUAUGUGAUUAAUAUAUAUGAUUCUUUAAAUUUAUCGAGAGUACUUGUAACACUCCAUACCCGACCUGAUUGUCGGAUCUAGAUUACAGGGUGUUACACAUCAAAAUCAAAAAUUAACUAACACAUUCUUUUAAAAGUAUGUUCCACCAUUCUGACUUACUGUAGUUAUUAUUAAAAUACAGUUAUCUAUUUGACCAUGCCACAUAAAUUUAUUUCGAUUAUGUUACAUUAAUCUAAGAUACAAAAUAAUUCAUAAAGUCGUUUAAACAUAUCAAAUGUUAGCUUUGUUUGGAAAUAAUAUUCUUAUCAAAACUAAUUACAAUAAGACUUUGACCUUGAGACAUCACCUCUGGGUCGCUCUGUUGUUUACAUAUUAUGAAUAGGAAGCACAUCUGCCUGGAUACGAUGGAUCCUGGUCUAGUCCUUUUAUGAACUAUUGAAUUUUCUUAUUACCUGCAAUAUAUAAUGUCACAAACGUAAGUUCAAAUUAACUUAGUAAGUUUUGCGUACCUUGCAUUAGCAAAAUGCUAAUAAGAUGGCAUUUCAAUAUUUAGAAUUAAAGUCUGACUGUCUCUACUAGGUUGGUUCGCCAAUAUCAUUGGAAUGGUAUUUAUGUCACAUAAUAUGGCUCACCCAUACUUGGUACAUCAUCCGUAAAAACACCAUUGCUUAAUUACUUGCACAACCUGGUGAACAAUUCAUCUUGCUUGGUUGUUCUUGAUCUAUUACGGAAGUCUUGAAAAUAAAGAUUUCAUAAUUGGCCAUACAAAGCCUUCCACACAAAAAGCUUUCAAUGAUGAGACUUCGCAAAUGAAAUAUCAGAAUGCAAAUAAACAUUUGGCUACUUGGUGGAUUAUCUUUGCAUAUUCUAUCUUUGUUAGUUACCUUUGUGGACCCAUAUGUAGCUACUUCCUUAAGAGAAAAUCUUUGCUGAUUCUUACUUACGAAUGUAUGAAAGAAAACCCAUAGUGCAACUUGCACCAAUAUAUACAGGUAAUCAGAUAAGACAAUCUUGGUGAAUGUACCCUUAUGUAGAUUGUUAUUGCGACUUGUCCUAACGGACUUAGAUUCAUAUUGUGAUUCUCACGGAUUCCUGUUUUAGACCCAAGUCUAUGAAUUCAUGCUUUACGAACAUACCAACAGAUUCAUAAUGAAAACCCUCCAUAACGAGUCAUUAAAGAAAACUAACACAUCUUAAUCAAACAAACAAAUUUGGCAGACCUUCAUAUUUUGCCCUUGUCUUGAAAUCACAGGUAACCGAUUCAUAGUGAUAGACUUUUAGAAACAGAUAACAUAGGAGCAGAUACUUAAGAGCGAAUUUUCUAGUAUGAAAUCAUUCACGUAAGAUAGUCUUGAUGGACUGUCAUAACUUACACAAACGGACUCGUAUAAAUAGAUAACUCAUUCUUGGCGGACUUAUGAAUUAAACCAAGCGAACUUUCAUAUAUUUCAUAACUUUCAUAUGUCAUGACCAUGAGCUUGCUUACACAUAUGAGGCUUAAAGCCUUAGAAUCAGUAGAGUCUCAUACAUACAUAGAACCGACAUUGGGUUAUCAUAUCCAUUUGCGCAUAUAUCUCUGUAUAAUCCACCCGAACCUCCGUAAAUCUAAAAACCAAGCAUAUACAUUCUUCGUACUAUUUACCCAAACUUUUCACAAAGCUAGUUAACACAUGGCAGAGAGUGCACAUCGUGAUAUUUCUUCGUUUAUCAUCCGUCAAACAACACUUCAAAACUCCGCAUAAUCAUACACAGGCAUUCUACCAACACUACUGUUUUUGUACGACACACAUUAUGCCAAACAUUUCAUGAAUUUUUCACUUUAACACAACAAACCUCACGAUACGUCAAUAUUCUAUUAUGGAGUAACUUACCAUUACAUAACAUCUAGCCAUAGGAUGGCGCAACAUUUUCUCAACACUCAACCAAUAUAACCAACAAACAUUACGCCAAACAUCUCAUUUAUACUUUAUAGAUAGACUUACAACCAGUCAUAUACUUUUAUUUCUACACACAACAUGCGUCUCGAUGUAUCAUCAUUCAACCAUAGAAUUCACCAUCUUAAGAUAGACGUUAUAGAUCCAACAAACAAUACCAAACAUAAACAUCCAUUUAAGGCUUGGGUUCUAGUACUCAUUUGAAAGUUGACGCUAAUACUUUCUACCUAGCUUCUUCCUUUGCUACCCAAGCCUCCAGCUUAAAAAAACAUAACAACUAUUUUAGAAUCUUCAGUGAAGAUAUUUUAUCAUCAUAAAAACUAGAAUUUUUUUGCAUGCAGAGGCCAUUAAAAUUAUCAUCCACAACCUUAUCCAAUACAAAACAGAAUCGAUGGAUAGCUGAAAUCCUUAACUUUCAUUCCUUUACUUAACUCUGUGACACAAAAAGGUUAAGAAGCUUACCAACUUAAUGAAUUAUCUAUUACAAACUUUAGCUUUUUUCCUCCAUCCAAACCUCUUACAAUAUUUCUCUCUUUCAUCCAGAUCAAUGAAGAAGAUUAAGAAAAAACAGAUAAAGUACGUAAUGAAUGACUAACACUAAAAAUUAAUUGAGAAAAAUGUAAUGAAGAUAUUACCUCUAGGAGUGGUAUCUUUAAAAGGGUGUGAGAGCUAGACCUUUAGGAAAGUGUGGAAGUUGCACCCUUAAGACUCGUACCCUUAAUAGAAUGAACACUUAGUGGAAAGGUAAAAGAGUUGCACCCUUGAUGGAAGGGUGAGAGACAUACCCUUAGCAGAAUGAACCUUUACUAGUAAGGUGAGAGAGUUGUACUCUUAGUGGAAUGAACCUUUAUGGUACGUUUGGUUUGUUGAAAUAUAAUAGAAGAUUAGUAUAGUGGUAUUCGAUAGGAAUUGAAUAGAGAUGUAAUAGAUAUUAUGUAGUUUGGUUGAGUGGAAUGUAAUAGAUGAGAAAUUGCAUUACUUUAUUUUGUUGAAUGGAAUGAUAUUAAAGAAUAUAGAAAGAAUAAAUGAAAAUGUCAUUUUUACCCUUGAAUUAAAAAAGAAUUUUUUAAGUAUAGAGUUUAAUUUAAUAAAAGUUUUAUUAUAUAACAUAUUAAAAAUAUUAUUCUAUAAUUUUAAUAUUUUAUAAAGAAUUCUAAUAUAUUAUUUACAAUUUAAUAUAUUAAAAUGUGUAAUGAUAAAAUAUUUUAAAUUUAUUACUAUUAAAAAGAUAAAACUAUAUUUUUUUUUAACAUUAAUCUCAUUAUAAGUUUUUAUUAUAUUUGUUCUUUUUUUAUAGAAUAUAAUGUCUAGAACUACUCAUAAUCCCUUCCUAAUCCUUAAAUAGGAAGAUAACGUGCUACAGCGUACUCGAACUCACGUCCUCCUGUAUUGGGAACAAUACCAAUACUAAUCGAGUUAAAACUCAACCAGUAAAUAUAAAAUUGUAUUUAAAAAAAAUACUAUAAUAUAAAUGAUAUAAUAUCUAAAUUAUAUCUUUCAUGUAAAAAUAUUUAAUAAUCACUUUAUUUAUAUGAGGGUUAAAUACAAGAUUGGUACCCAAAUUUGUCCACUUCUCCCAGAUUGAUACCUAUGGUUUUUUUUUUGUCUCAGAUUGAUAUUCGAACUUUUUCUCCAUCCAGUAGUUUGGUACCUGAUACUAACGGCAUUAAUUUUUUUGCUAAUGUGACAAUGCUGACCACUCAUGCAUCGCCACAGACAUCCUAUUGUUCUUUCGUUUUGUUUUUGUUUUUAUUUUCUUUUUUAUUUUCCCUCCUCUUCCCUUUUUCUUUUCUUUUCUUUUUUCUUUUGCUAGCCUGUUUCUACACUUCAUCUUUCUUCUGUAAAAAAUUCUCAAAGUUUUCCCUCACUUUCUCACCAUCCAAUCACCACAAAAAUCCCCCUUUUUGCUAUUGUAUAUCCCCUUAGAUCUCUUUCUUUUGUUGUUAUAUUCACACAAGUUUCAAAAAUUUCUUCUACGUAAUCCACGGAAGCCUGUUUCUUCGAUACUCUCAAAGCUCAACCUUUUUGAGUUAUUUUUUUUCACUUUGGGUUCUUUAUCGCUUUUAAAAUUUUUACCUGAUCAAUAGUGCAAGAUUAAAAUUUUUGAUGUUUGAUGAACAUGUUUAUGGAAAAUCUUGAACCCGAAGACAUAAUCAAUGUUUAAAAUAAAAUCUUUGAAACACUUUUUCGAACAUUACAAAAACUUGCAGAACAAGAGAAAAAAGAAUUGAUCGAGAAAUCAACAAAAAAAUAGAAACUAUCAGAAUACCAAUUGACAACACAAUCUCAGAACAAAAAAAUAGAAACUCGAAAAAUCAACAAAAAAAUAGAAACUAAUAUUAGAAUACCAAUCGGCUACACAAUCUCAGAACAAAAAAAAAAGAAUCUUGCAUGUAUGUUAAGCUUUUGGGGUUUGAGGGGAUUUUAGGCUCGAUUUUUAAAUGACAAAGGGAGGAGGCUUCGAUGAUAAUGGCCUCACCUAGGUUUAACCCUUAAGCCAUGAAGAGGCCACCAUAUCCAUAGGUUUGGUGAGCCCUAAAAGAAAAGAAAAUUUUGGCUAUUUAGGUUUCAAAAUUCUUCUUGAAAGAGAACAAAAGAAAGAUUUUUUUUUUGUUUUCAAGGAAAAUAAAAGAAAUGAUUUAAAAAAGAAAGAGAUCAUUUUUGCUAGCCAUCGUGCACCAUCAUCGGAAAACUGGAGAAUAUUGGGUUCCCUAGCAAUAAAAUCUUGCUAGAAAAGAGAACAAAAAGUAAAGGAUGGAGGAAAAAAAAGAGGAGCAAUAAUUGGUGCAAUUGUUGUUAUCUUCAUCCCUAAGUAACAUCAGCUGUUGAGCAACUACUACCAUGUUUGAACAUUGGGAAAAUUUAGGGGGGUUUAAGGAGGAAAGAAGAAAGAAAGAAGUGUAAAAUGCAUGCCCAGCAAAAAAAAAAGGAAAAGAAUGAGGGAAAAUAAAAAACAAAAAAAUAAAAACAAAAAGAAGGCCAAAUAGGACGCCACGUGGCUGUGCAUGAGUGGUCAGCGUUGCCACGUCAGUAAAAUCUUAACGUCGUUAGUCUAAGGUAUCAAAUUAGUGGACAAAAAAAAAGUCCGAGUACUAAUUUGGGACAAAAAAAUCAUAGGUAUCAAUAUGAGAGAAGUGGAAAAGUUUGGGUAUCAAUUUUAUAUUUAACCCUAAAUUUAAAGAGUUUUCACAUUAUUAUUUUAGUUUGCUUUCCCUCAUUAGCCGACUCUCAAGUUUUUCUAUCUUUAGAACAUUCCCUUGAAUAAAAAAACCCAAAAAACUUCUAUUACUUUCAUAACACAACUAGUUGUCGCUGCCUUCUGCCACCAUUCUCCUUCAUCGAUGGACUUUCAAUCUUUUUCAAAAGUGCAUGGCAUAACAAUUUUGAUCCCUUUCCUUGAUUUUCCCUUUUUGUUUCUAAAUCAUCUUCUAAACUCUUUGAUCUACAAAGUACUUUUGACUCACCAUAUUUUUUUUUCUAAACCAUCAUUCUAAAAUUUUUUUUGGAAGGGUAAGAGGGUUAUAUCUUUAGUGGAAGGGUGAAAGAGUUGUACCCUUAGAGGGAUGAACCCUUAAUAUAGCAGGGGUGUAAUUAUUGAUUGAUAUAUUUGUGUUUAUGCAUUUAGAGAAUUUUAUGGAGGGUGAAAUCGUUGACUUGAUUUGCCCAUGUUUAUGUAUUUGAAGAAAUUCAUAGGUGUAACCGAACUCAAUAGGCCCAAGAUUACAUAAUUGGAGGAAUUCGCAUAGGGUGCAACCGUUGACCUGACAAGUUUGAGAUUACGCAAUUGGAGAAUUUCACGAAAGAUAUAACUGUUGACUUGCCUAACAUUAUACAAUUGGAGAAUUUCAUGAAUGAUACAACCGUUGACUUGAUAGGUUUGAUAUUACAUAAUUGGAGAAUUUUGUAAAUGGUGCUGCUAAACCGAGUAUUACACAAUUGGAGAAAGUAGCAUAGGUGCAGCUGUCAAUAGUUGAACUACCUCGAAUUACACAAUUUACCAAUGUAGCGGAAGUGCAAUCAUCAACAAUUGAACUGCCCAGGAUUAUGCGAAUUUAAGGUCAUAAUGCAAGUAAGGUUCCACUGUUCAGUAAAACUAAUCGAACAUAAGAACUUUGGAUGACUAAUAUAUGCAUGAGGGGUUCAUACCUCAAAAGUGUCAAAGGGUAACAAUCUCUUUUAUACAUAAUUAUCACAUCACAACCCUCAUUUUCCUUUUCUUUAAUAAAUAUAUAAUGUAUAUAUAUGUAGGGUGUAACCCUGUGGGGUUUUUCUCUUCUUGUACCUUUUUGUGGGUUUUUAAAAAAAAAAUAUAUGUAAUAUAUAGGAGGGGUGCAAACCCCUAAUGGGACACCCCAUUUCUACACACCCUUCAUAGGUGCCUCCCCUCUCUAAUAAAAAUAUGAUAUAUACAUACAUGCAUAUAUGAAGGGAGAGGUGUACAUCCCUCGUGGAAAAUCCCUUAUGAGUUUUCCUUACACACAUUUGUGGGUGUUUCUUAUUGUUAGACAAAAUACGUUAGCGAAUAAAAUAAAUUAAAUAUAAAUAAAGAUAGUAUAAUUUAUAUUUAAUUUAUCAAAUAUGAAAAACAAUCAAAAUUAAAAUGAAUAAGAGUUUAAAUCAGAAGGAAAAAAUAGGGAUUUUAUGAAACGUUGAGGCUUAUGAAAUAUAGUUUCCUUAAGGCAGAUUUGGCCGCUCCUAUAGUACUUGGAGCAAUGUUGGUCGAAUAUCUCCUAGGAUACAACAACAGUAGUGAUCAAAGUAGUGACACCUCUACAAUGAUCAACGAACGAACUUUGACUUUUUCUAUCACCAAAAUAUUGUAAAAAUAUGGAGAGGCAAAAUAAGAAUUUUGAAAUGAACAGAAUUUCAGUAUAAGAAAUUAUUUGAAUGUAGGUUCAAUCCUACAGAAUACACAACCUUUUAAAGGCAUUUAGGAAAGUUGAAAAUUUGGAAAUAACAAUAAAAUCUGCCAUUAAGGAGCCAAAAAAUCAAAUUGAUUUGAAAAUAAAAUCAAAUCAGAUAUUAUGUAUGGUAAGGAAAAAUAAAUUUGUGUUGGGCUUAAAAUAUCCAUAAGGAUGCCUAUUUUGGCUAGUUGACCAAUUUGAAAAUUUCGUGUCGCUUAUAUCAUGCGGUGUGCCCCAACCCCAUCAAGUUUGCACUUGCAUCCCCUCUAUGCACGAGGCAAUAUUACAAGUUUAAUCAUUCAAUUACUUUUUAAGAGAGUUCACAUAUAUAAACACAUCUCACACUUGGUAUUUAACCAAUAUGGUAUCUAAGCUUUUACUUUUCCUCAACAAUAUUUCCAAGUAGCUUACUUUGAGCAUUAAUUUCUCAUUCAUCACUCAAUCAUUUUGAGCAUAUGAUAUAUCGUUGUAAAGGUCUCAUGGAGUAGAAUAUGAAAUCAUAAAUUUAUGAUUCAACUCUCCACCUUUACCUAUUGAGAAUAUGUCUCAAAGUUACCAUAAAAGUAAUUUUUCCAACACUUAUAUAUAUAUUAAGAUAUAUAAUAUGUAUGCAUAAGUGAGGGUUACACUCCUCGUUGGGUUCAUACCCUAAAAUAUAUAAAAUAUAUGAAUGGAUGGGUUCAUACCCUAAAAGUGACAAGGAAUUCACGACUUUUUUUUUAGAUUAGCUAUUGAAACCCAAUGGCUUAUAUAUUUGAAAUCUAUAUCGAACAGAAAAGGGUAAGAGAGGCUAACUUGAUUUAGUUAUGAAAUUAUUGUGAACAAACACAAGUAUUUUGAGAGUUCUUUCGUUGGACAAAGUCAUCUUACCUGAAUUUAUUUUGAUCUACUCUCAUCGCAUUAAUAGUUAUGCAAGAUUUCAACAAGGGAGAAGAAUGUAGUGAGAAGUUUGAGACAGUUCACCUGUAUAGGGCGGAUAGUUGUUAGUGAUUGAGAUAAAAGGGAGAAGAAGUGUACAAACCCUAUAAUGUUAGGAGCCCAAAAAUAAUGUAUGGUGGCAGAAAAGAUGAAAGCCUUCUUAAGUUAAUAUUUAUGUAUAACAAUAUUCAAGGUAACUUAGAUUGGAUGAAUUCAAUUUAAACUUAAAUAAAAUUAAUUUAAAGAUGUAAAUUUUAGUAAAUAUGAAAGCAUAUUUAAAAAUUCGUGUUUAAAAUUUUUAUAAUUAAAUUUAAAUAAAAUAAUUUUACUAUUAAUUAAAUACACUUCAACAAUAUUUUCUAUAGAAAAGUUGGACCAAUUUAAAUUAUCAAGAAUCUGUCGUAAAUUCAAACUAUUUUAAAUCGAACCUAUGAGAUCAUGGAAGGGACAAUGUCAGAACUGCCAAGCAACUGAGGCAUAAGCACCCGUUAUACAAUUAUUAUUUUUUGAAAUCAUAUACAAUUAUUUAUUUAGUUAGGCAUAAUCUUAAAUUUAGUCCUUAAUUUUUAUAUUUUUAUCAAUUUGAUCCUUAUCUUUUAGUUAGAUUUAAUCUCAACUUUUUUUUUAAAAUAUUAAUAUUUCAAAAAAAAUAUUUUUUAAAGAAAAAUACUUACUAAAACAUAAAAAAAUUUAAACAUAAUAGCUUCUAUAGUGAUCCACAUUUACUUUAUGCUAUUUUUUCUUUUGAAUUUUUAUGAACUUUUUAUUUUUUUGAAAUUUUUUUAUAAUUCUAAAAUUUUUUGUUGACAUAACAUAUAAAAAAAUAAUAUCAUAUUAAUAUAAAUUACAUAUAGAUUACUAUCCGAAGUGUUAUACCAAUAUUGUUAAAAAUUGAUGUUAUAAUAGUAUUUUUAUUAAAAAACGAUUUAACUGUUGUUGAGAAGUUAAUAGUAAAAUUUAGCUAAAAUGGACCAAAUUGAUAAAAAAUGUAAGUAUUAGAGCUAAAAUGGUAUUUUGCCUCUUUAGUUAUUAUUAUCGAACACUAGUAUUCUUUUCCUUUUUAAAAUUUUUUGCUCUUACGUGCCAUGGCAGGCUCGAGGGAAUUGCAGGCCAAAAACCAAUAGUUCAAUACCGGCCCCCCUCCCCCCAAAAAAAAAAAUAGCUGAAGAGAAAUACGAAAAAUAGUAACAAUAAGAAAAUUAAACGAUGGGCAGAGUUGAAGAAAAAAAGCGAUUUAAUUUUUUAGGCAUUUGAAGUUUUAAUGUGGAAUGGGGCCAUGGAAUCCAAGGCCAGAAACAGAGAUCGGUGUGGUUGCUCUUCUUCUUCGUCGAUCUGUAAGUUCUUUGUUUUUUCUUUGAAUCUCUUCUCCGGUUUUGACCGACUCAAAUAAAAUUUGAAUCUCAGUUUUGUUAAGGUUUUCUGGUCAAUUUCUAGGGUUUUGGGUUGGAGCCCUGGAUCUUGUCAUCCUUAGAUUUGAUUCACAAGAUUGGGAAUUUCUCUAGGUCUGCGAAAAUGUACCAAUAUUAUGUUUUGUUUUUCGGAAUCAGGGUGAGAUUUUUAAAGAGGGAAAAAGGAAUACUUUACACUUCAGUAGUAAGGAAAAAAAAAAGAAUGAGAAAUAUCGGAGUCGGAUUUGUACUUUUUAGUAAUUGAAGUUAAAACAAGUAGGUAAUGCCAGUUAAGAAAAAAAUCACCCCUACCCUUAUUUUCUAGUUAAUAGUAGCAGUUUUGUGUUCUUGGAUUUGCAAUUGUUAUUUAACCUUGAUUCAGUUAUUAUUAUUAGGAAGUAGGCCAUUACAAUAAAAGAAAACCAAAAAAGAAAUCAAAUUUCACCUGGCAGCCCAAGAAAAUAAAAUGCUAGAUGGAUAUUCCAGGUUCUGUUUUUUUUCUUUUCGGCUACUUUUCUUAUAUUUGAAUUUGUAGGAAAUGGAGAAAACUGAAUGUUUCAAAAUUUAUUGAUUAUCUUCUCCAAAGCUUGUUUUCUAAAUGUGAAAAGAGCAUUCGAAGCUGGCAUUUUUGUUCAACUUCGUUUCUGACUUAAAAUAAAUAAACUGUUUGUCUCUUUUGGUUGGGUAUUUCAGGUUCAGUAACUUAUUGCUUCUAGUCCCUGCAUAUAGAUCUAUAGCACUUCAUAAUGACGGAACCAAGCUCAGUAGACUUGAUUUUGGACUUUCUGAGGAGAAAUCGCUUUACGAGAGCUGAGGCAGCUUUGCGUAGUGAACUCGGUAACCGACCUGAUUUGAAUGGAUUCCUUCAGAAACUUACCCUUGAAGAAAAGGACUCUGGCAAGGUUCUAGAAGAAGAAAAGGGGAAAAAAACAGUAGGUGAAAAUCAUGGUUUAGGUUCUCGAAACAGUGGUGAGGUUUCUAAGGAACUUAUAAUAAAAGAGAUAGAGUGUGGGGCUGGCAGAAAUGGGUCUGAAAGCAAAUCGAGAAAUGCUGUUUCUACUGGGGAGCAUAACAAACCUAAUGAAGCAAAAGUGAUAAGUGAUAAGAGUUUCACUUUCUCUAAAAAUUUAGAGGAGACUGUACUUAAUUUUCUGUCAAGGAACUUUAAUACUACCAAUCACUCUGAUCUAUACAAAAAUGGUGGUUUUGUUAAUCGCACUAGCUUUUUGGAGCUAGAGAAACAAGACCUGUCAAGAUGUGGUACAGCUGAAGCUUCUGAAACAGAUAAAAGUAAUGUUAAAUAUGGAGAAGAGAUUAUGUUUCCAGGUGAAAUCAGAAGUUCAUGGCUUGGGAAUACUAGCAAAGCUAAUGUAGAUUCCAAGUAUGAUAAGUUUCAUGCCAGUGAAACUAAGGAGCUUGAUCAGCAUUAUAAGACAACCAGUGCAUACUUGAUGGAAAACUUUGCUGAUAAUAGCAGAUGGUCUAGAACUGAGGAACCCGCUAGUGUGUCUUCAGAGAUAUGGAAAAAUUGUUCUGUUAAGACUGUUUUCCCAUUCCCCGAGGGGGAUGUUUCUAUCAGAUAUGAUGCUGUUAAUACUUCAGAAAAGAGAGAAGGGAAACAGAAGGCAUGUGCACCUGAUGUUAGGGCAGCAAUUAAGGAACAGGUAGAUGAGGUUGGAAGGGCUCUAUUCUUUGGGAAGUCUCAAGGAGCUGCUGAGCAAAAAGGAAAAAAUGGGUUAGUCUUCCCUCUUGCAUCCGAAAAUCCAAAGGAAGAGUUUCCUAGGUUGCCACCAGUUAAACUCAAGUCAGAGGAGAAGUCAUUGAAUGUCAAUUGGGAGGAAAAAUAUGAGCGUGAUGUCCCAGGUGCAAAGCUCACUAGUGCUGACAAUGCAUUCCUUAUAGGGUCCUAUCUGGACGUUCCCAUUGGGCAAGAGAUAAGCUCUUCAGGUUGGUUCAUAUAACUAUGUGGUUAUUCGAUGAAUGCUUACGGUGAUGGUUGAUUUUAUUUAAAUUAAUGAUUGCAAUUAGCUAAUUGUCCGAACUUCUAAUGUUUCUACUUUUUCCUUUUCAUUUUAUUAUAUGUGCUGGUAAGAUAUAUAUGAAUUUUCUGUCUGUGUCUAUAUGUAUGCAUUGUCUAAACUCUAAGACAUGUCCAAUUUGUUGUAGUAAAGUCUUUCUUAACUUGAAAAGAUUCCAUCUGGCAGUUGGCGGGUUAAAACAUUCCACCAUGUUAUUUAAAUACAUUUUAGAUAUUUGCUACUUUGAGGGUAAGCUGUCUUCAUGCUAUAUAUUCCUUUUCCUUUUCCUUCUUUAGUUAUGCCUUGGUUCGCAUAAACUAAUCCCCCUAAUAUUUGAUAUAGAAACCAGAAAAAAAAUGAUGAUUUGAAAGUAAACAGAAAAGCUCAGAAACAUCUUCUCACUUGAGUUUUGCAAAGAGGAGUUCAACCCAUCGUCCCAGCCUCUGAAAACGAUUUUUAAUAAGCUACAGAAGUACUUCUCACUAGAGAAAUGACAAAUUCAGGUUUCAGACCUCACAGAAACUAACACUAUGUUUGGAUUAAAAGUAGUGAAGGAAAAGAAAGGAAAAGUAAAAGAGUGGAAAGCUAAAGAAAGUAAAUGAUUACAUUUCUCUUGUUUGGAUAACUAAAAUUAAUGAAAGAAAGUAAAGUAAUUUUAACAAUUUUUGUUUGGAUAAACAACGGAAAGGAAAGGAAAGGAAUAAUUAUAAUAAAGUUUUACAAUUAUAACCUUUUUAUAAAGCUAUUUAUAAAAGAAAUAGGGGAGAAAAAAGACACUUUACAAUUUUGUUUUGCUUUCAUUUCCCUAGCUUUCCCCCGAAAUUGGGCUAAAUAAAAAAUUUUAACUUUUAAGGGAAAGCAAGGGAUACUCAAUACCCCUCACUUUCCAUAGCUUAAAUUAUCAAGUCUAUCCAAACAAUGGAAAGGAUGACCCUUUCCCUUACUUUCCUUUCCUUUCCCAACCUCCAAUCCAAACAUAGGCUAAGUAUCAAUUCAUUUUAGAGGACAGAUAUAUUCAACAAUAAUUUAAGAGUGGCUGUAUUUGGAGUAUUGCACUAAUGCUGAACUUGCUAAUUUACUAAGAUUCUAUGCCGGAAAAGUUAAAUUCAAUUUGAUGUCAAGUAGUCUUGCUACUAUCUAGUGUAAACAUAUAGGGUGAAUGACAGUGUGAUUAAUCUUCUUCCUUGAUUAUAUAUAUCAUCUCACAACUAAAACUUCUAACUCAAAUAUUAAAUCUUUCGGACAGCCAUUAAAAAAAUUAUAGCCAAUUGCUGUAGGAUAAUAAGGGAACAAUAGUCUAAUUUCUCCUCUCCAAACUCUAAUUUGGUUUUCAUGCUUAAUCUUUUUCACUUCAGCCCUUUAUGUUCAUAAAAGGGAUUCAACUUGUGGCAUUCUCUGGUUCCCUAGAGUAGGAUGCUAAGUUUUCUUUGUCUUGACCUGAAUAAAGUUCAUAACUAUGGAUGAUGCUUUUGUUUAGAGCAGUUGAUUAUUUCUCUUUUAACUCUGCUGAGUAAAGCUUGUAAAUCCAUUUUAUGAUGAUCCAGGUGGAAAAAGGAAUGCUGGAGGUAGUUGGCUCUCUGUGAGUCAGGGCAUUGCAGAAGAUGCAUCUGAUCUGGUUUCUGGUUUUGCUACUAUUGGUGAUGGAUUGAGUGAAUCUGUUGAUUAUGCAAAUGAUUAUUGGGACUCUGAUGAAUAUGAUGAUGAUGAUGAUGUUGGUUACAUGAGGCAACCUAUCGAGGAUGAAGCCUGGUUUCUAGCUCAUGAAAUUGAUUAUCCUAGUGACAAUGAGAAGGGAACUGGGCAUGCUAGUAUUCCUGAUCCACAAGAAAGAAGUCAAACCAAGGAUGAAGAAGAUGAUCAAUCAUUUGCGGAGGAUGAUUCUUACUUCUCUGGUGAACAUUAUAUCCAGGCAAAGAAUGUUGAACCUGUUGCAGCUUCUGAUGAUCCCAUAGGGCUGUCUGGAACUGAAAUGUAUAGCAGGACCCGUGAGAAUGAUUUAAUUGCCCAAUAUGAUGGGCAGUUAAUGGAUGAAGAGGAGCUUAAUUUGAUUCGCUCUGAACCUGUUUGGCAGGGAUUUGUCACUAAGAGAAAUGACCUUAUCAUGCUAGAGGAUGGGAAAGUUCUUAACGAGUGUGGGAGAUCUCGGCUGGAUGAUAUAUAUAUAGAUGAUGAACAGCAUGGUUCAGUUAGGUCUAUUGGUGUGGGAAUCAACAGUGAUGCUGCUGAUAUUGGCAGUGAAGUACGUACAAGUUUAGUUGGAGAAAGUAGUGAAGGGGAUUUUGAAUAUUUUCAUGAUCAUGAUGUUAUUGGAGGGUCUAGACAAAGUCAUCAUGAGAAAGACAGGAAAAAUAUUGAUAAAUCAAUUAGGGAUAAAAGGAAAACUGGAAAAAAUGAUACAAAUAAGUAUGUUACUGGGAAUGAUAAAGGUCUGACUUGCCAGGUGAAGAAUCUUGCAGAUAGGGGAUUUUCUUUUCCACCUCCACUAAGAGAUGGGCAGUCGGUGCAGGCUGGUUCUAGUAAGUCUCAAUGGUCUAGUAAUUGCAAUGCAGCUGGUGAUGAACAUGAUGAUUGUUUGAGUGCUUUGAUGGGGUCUAAUGAUAUGCUUGCUACAUGGAGACGAAAAAGCAGUGAUUCUUCAGCCGGAAAAUGUUCUAGGGAUGAAAACAAUGGCAAUGCUGUAAGAUCUGCAAAUUCCAGUCCUUCUAGUCUAUCUAAUUAUUGUUAUGAUGAACAAGAGCAGACAAAGAUAAAAGAAGGGAAAACUAGUGGUGUGAGAGAAGAUCCUGGGAUCUCACUUGAGGAUGAAGAGGUUGCUGCUGUCCAAGAGCAAGUGAGGCAAAUUAAAGCGCAGGAGGAGGAAUUUGAGACCUUCAACCUGAAGAUUGUGCAUAGGAAAAACAGGCAUGUUUUUCAAAAUUUCAAUGAUGCAUAAAUGGUGUGAUGUAUCUUCUCUUUCUGUCUUCAUCCUUGAACCGCUCUGGUGGUAUUCUCCAUGAACCCUGCUUGGGUUGGAGAGACAAAGCUGGUUGCAAGCUCCCUCUUUUAGUUGACUGACAAGAGUUCUAGAUUAAUAUGUUUAUGCACCAUAGCAUUUAACUAAUUAGUGUCUCAUUGUUGACUACUACUCCUUUACCAAGUAUUUAGCAAGCUCAUGUUUUGUUGCUUAGCUUAAAUUUUACCCAGUUCACCGUUUGGCAGUUGAAACUAGUUUUCUUUCACUUAUUUGUCCUGUUAUUAAUUUUUAAUAUGAUUUUUAACUUGUAAGAUGAUGAUUGACUUAAAACUUGAUCACUAAAUGAUUGCUAUUGAUUGAUAGCAAUUAUCAUUGGACCACACACACACCCCCAAAAAGAAAGAAGCUUCUUGAAUAUUCAUAGAUGUAGCUAUUUGUUAUCGAUGGCACUGACAUCUAAACAGUUAAAUUUCUACUGCUUUUACAACCUAUGGCAUAUAUUCUUAAUCUUUUCUACUUGCUUGAAAUAUUUCCCUAGUAUGGUUUAUACUGUAGAGUUCUUACAAACAGACUAACUUAGAUAUGCCCUCUUUUUGCUUUUCAGAACUGGAUUUGAGGAGGACAAGAAUUUCCAUGUUGUUUUGAACUCUGUUAUAGCUGGGCGCUAUCAUGUCACCGAGUAUCUUGGAUCAGCUGCUUUUAGUAAAGCUAUACAAGCACAUGACCUACACACUGGCAUGGAUGUCUGUGUCAAAAUUAUAAAGAACAACAAGGAUUUUUUUGAUCAAAGCCUUGAUGAAAUUAAGCUUCUCAAGUAUGUUAACAAACAUGAUCCAGCUGAUAAGCAUCACCUUCUCCGAUUGUAUGAUUACUUUUACUACCGAGUAAGAAAAUGCUGGCCAACAACUGUCUUAUUCCUUGUACAUGCUUUUUAAUGUUCCUAGAUACUGGCUUCUUCCUUUUCUUAUCAUUUUAUAGUUUUUAUUUUUUAUUCUUUACCAUUGGUUAGAUGUUUGCCAGUUUGUUAUAUUUGCAUUCUAGUCCUAAUUGUUUCACAUUCCUAUUGAUACAUACAUUUAAUGCGGAAAUUUUUCUUAACAAAUCUGGCUUCCAGCGGCAAAUGGUUAUAUUUGUUGAAGUUCAAGUUGGCAUGUUAUAACUGCUUUCUCUGAUAGUGAAAUUAAAAUUUUUAUCUUUGGGCUAAUGCAUCAUAGUGUCCUGUACAUACUCAAGAAUGCAUGUUGAAUUGAGUAGCAGCUGACCAUUCUUUAUUUUCCAGGAGCAUUUGCUAAUAGUCUGUGAACUUCUCAAGGCAAACUUAUACGAGUUUCAUAAAUUUAAUAGGGAAUCAGGUGGAGAAGUCUACUUCACAAUGCCAAGAUUGCAGGUUUGGAAAGCUGUUUUCUUCAGAAGAGCAUAUAAUCUCUGUCUUGCCAUUACUUAAUCUUCUUUUAAAUUCUUCUGUGCAGUCAAUUACCAUUCAGUGUUUGGAGGCUCUUCAGUUUUUGCACAGCCUUGGCCUAAUACAUUGUGAUCUGAAGCCAGAAAAUAUCUUAGUGAAAAGCUAUAGUAGAUGUGAGGUGAAGGUCAUUGAUCUUGGGAGCAGUUGUUUUGAGACAGAUCAUUUAUGCUCCUAUGUUCAAUCCAGGUCCUAUCGGGCUCCAGAGGUUAUCCUAGGGCUUCAAUAUGAUAAGAAGAUUGAUAUUUGGUCACUUGGCUGCAUCUUGGCGGAACUUUGUACUGGCAAUGUAAGUAUUGGUCUUCUUUAGACAUUAAUUAGUAUUUGCUUCUUAUGAAUCAUGCUAUGAUAUGUGGUUUUCUAGCACAAUUUUUUUUUUCAUUGUUUCUUUUACUACUUUGAAGAUAAAGAAUUAUAAACAAAAAAGCUUGGGAAUGUCACGCAUUUGAAUAAAUCAUUAAAUUCAAUGGAAAAAAGACUUGAUUGAGCAUGAUUUAGGUUUGAAGUGAACUCACUGGUUCUGAAACUGAAAAAAUUAAAACAAGAAAAGGAAUAAAAUAUUGUUCAAUUUUAUGACCUCUUUGUAAUUGCAUUUGGUGAUGUCCUCAUCCAUAAAUGCUGGAUGGAUUAAAUUUUGGAACUUUACUAUUUGCAAGUCUCUGGUUAAAAAAAUUCAGGAAGACUAGUUGCUUGAGUUGUUAAAGCGAAGAUAUGUAAGUUGCCUGACAUAAGUUGUAGCACAAACUUGACCAAAAGAAAAUGUUUCUUAUGUUGUGGUAUCGAGAUCUAUUUCGUUCAUUCAUUUCAUUGACUUAUAUGUUAUUCGGACUUGUCAUUUCUUGAAGUACCCAUGUUCAUAACCCAUGCUAGAUACAAUUUUAGACAUAGGUUUGAAGAUAUGAUCCGCUAUAUACUGGAAAAAAAAGAAAAAAAUUGAACAUAUCCAUGUCAGUUACAUACCAGCAUGCGGCAUACCCUAGGACAAUCAAUAUAGUUGGUUUAUGUACUGACAACUUUGAUUGAUUUCUUUAUUUAAUUUUACCGGAAAAAGCAUAUUCUUUCACUGUGAUACAUAUGUAUAUAUGAGUAUAUGAAAUAUGGAUAAUAUUCUUGGAGAAUUAUUUUUCCCUUUUCUGUUCUAUUUCUCUCUAGCCUCAAGUGUAGGUUAUAUUGGUCAUUACUGUUUAUAAUUUAUCGAUUUUAUUGCUACACCUGUCUAUGAAUGCUUGGUACAAUUUGAUCUCAAUUUGAUGGUGUAGGUCCUGUUCCAAAAUGAUUCACCUGCGACAUUACUUGCGAGGGUAAUUGGAAUCAUAGGUCCCAUUGAACAAGGCAUGCUUGCAAAAGGGCGGGAUACAUACAAAUAUUUUACAAAGAAUCACAUGCUUUAUGAACGUAGUCAGGUCCAUAUUUUCUUAUUUUUUACUUGUUGGUUAAAAGUAGUUUAUUCUGGACAUUGCUUCCCACUUGAAUGUAGUUUUCAUGCUAAUGCAUUUGGGUUUAAAAGUGGUGUGUAUUUGCCAAUAUCUCAGGAGACCAACAGACUAGAAUAUCUGAUACCCAAGAAGACAUCGCUGAGGCAUCGAUUGCCUAUGGGGGACCAGGGGUUUAUCGAUUUUAUUGCUCAUUUGCUUGAAGUAAACCCAAAAAAGCGCCCUUCUGCAUCGGAGGCUCUGAAGCAUCCAUGGCUAUCAUACCCAUAUGAACCGAUAUCAGCUUGAGUUGCAUGCAGAUUUGCUUGACUCUUAUUGACUGGGGAAGGAGGUGUAUUUUAUUACUGGCUCGGAGUUGGUUUUGAUCUAUUUGAAGUCAUCACUGUCACCCCCCUUCACAUGCCUGCAAAAUGCAAUUGAAAGGUGUGUUUGAUUUUGUUUGGUUAUAAAUAUUUAUGUUUUUAUUUCCUUUCCCCCAAUAUUAAAGUAGUACUUAAUUCAACAUUAUGAAGGAUGUAAUUUUGAAACGGUGUAUCCUGAAGAGGUUUCCUUCAUCAAUGAGGUGGAAGGGGAAUCUAAUCUUGUUGUACAUGGUGUGAUAAUUCUUUUAGGAUUAGAUUGUGAAAUAGUUUUUUGUUUUGUUAUUUUUUUUUUCUGCUGCACUGCACUAUUUCAUCAAUCAAACCUGCUACUCCAAAUUAGUUCUCACACACUGCUGCAUUCAGUGUACUUUCAUUGCUGCUUCCCACAUCUUCGCAUUUUAUUAAGGUCGGCAUCACCAUUGUGUGUUUAUAUAUACACACAUAUAAUAUAUAAAAACAAGGAACAUAGCAAUACUGUAGAAGUGUGGCUUUACGUUCCUUUUCUCGUUUGGGUUGGGUUGGAACGAGAGAAAAAUAAUCUUUUUACUUGCUUCAAGAGUAUAGUCUUAUUUUUUUUUAAUAAACAAAUUGUUAAUUGAUAUUUAUUAAUUUUGAAACUUUAUUUUUAAAAUAAAACAUUUGAUUACAAAAUGUUGCAUAAAAGGGCUGUUAAUUUAAUUGUAAUUUUAAAAUUAGUCAAAUAGAGGGAUGUAAAAGAAUGGAGAGAUGAGAGACAUAAUUUAACUCAAAAGAGAAAAAUAUACAGAGAUAAAAAAAAUGUUUCUAUAUAUGCAUUUGUUUUCUUUCCUAAUCUUACUAUGUUGAACCGAAUGAUGAUGGAGGAAUGAGUAGCUUUCUUCCACUAUCUUAUAUAUUUUAUAAUUAAUUAAAGCAUCUAAUGGCUAACAAUUAACCUUAGAAAUCUUAAAGGCCAUCCAUGGUUGGCAUCACUCCUCUCCACUAACAUGAAAAUAUUUAUGGUUUAAUUGCUAAUUAAGUCCUUAAAAUUCCCAAGUUUUCUACUUCUUUUAAGUCCAACAUAAAUUCUUCGCUACGACUGACAGACAUUUGCAUUCGAAAAUUGAAUCCGCUCCAGCUUCAACAUCCAGAAUUUUGGAGUUUCACAUAAUGGCUCGGCUCCCCUUAACUUCGCUAUUCCUCUCAUAGCAUUAUAUUUAACCAGUCUUUGUAGGCAUUUGAAGUGAACAUGCAUGUUUUUUUUGUAAAUUUCUAUAUAUGCUACAUCUUUCAUUAUUUCUUUUAUUUUUGAAAUUUUAUAAAAUAAAAGCAGCUUAUUUUUCCUCUUAUUUGAUUUUAUACACUAUAAAUAUAUAUAACUAAAAUGUUUUUCCCUCUUUCAAUAUUUUAAUUAUAUCAUAAUUAUUUAUUAAAUACAUAUUAAAAUUGUAAUAUAUAUAAAUAUGAUUGUAAUUAUCUUUAUUUUAAUUAAAAAUAAUUUUAUAAAAGUCAAAACUCUUGAAUAAACUCAAAUAAAAAAUGAUUGUCCUAAGUCAAGUUAUGAUUAUGGUCCCUCUACUAUGUAUAAAUUUAGAAUUUAGCAUCUAUACUAUAAUUUGAUAUAAUUUGGUUCAACUUUUAGUUAUUCCAAAUAGUUGAUUACUUCGAUUAAACCGUUUAGGACAUAGUUUCUCCUAAAAAUACGCACUCCAAACUUAUCAUACCAAUGUAUAAAUAUUUGUGUUAAAAAGGUGUAUUCAUCAUAUCAAAAUAUAUUUUCUGCGUGUGUGUUAGAAAGGUGUACUUAUCAUACCGUAAUAAUUUUUUUUAAAAAUGUGUUAAAAAGGUGUUUUUGGGAAAAUAUCACAGCAUUUUAAUCGGAAUAGUUAAGGACGCUAAUUAUUUAGACCGACUAAUGUCAUUAAAUAGAAUCAUCAUAAAUCUCUAUGAAUUCAUGUUUUUUAAAUAAUUUUUUAUUUUUAUAGAUUUGGAUGAAUUAUUAAAUAUAGUUGAUAGAUAUGACUACUAUACCAUGGUCAAUUUGACCCACAGUACAAGGCAUACAUUAAAACAUAUGUUAUACACCAUAAAUGGAAAUAUUAGAAAGUAGUAGGGACCUUAAGGAUAAAUUUCAAACUGUGAUACCAUGUUUUAAGUAUUUUUUUAAAAUAAUAUUUUUUUCUAACUGAUGUGCCACACCAAUUCAGUCUACCUUAAUAUAGAUUAAAUUGAAGUUUGUAUCUACAUAUUGAUGACAACCAUGUGGGUUAAAAUUUAUGUUAUAAACUUUUAAAUCACGUCAUGUGGUUGAAAUGAACCAUUUUUAAGAAUGGUUCAUUAACUUUAAAAAUGAGAAUAAUAAGAACCAAAAUGAUUAUAGUUAUUAGAUUAAAAUAAAUGGCUUUAAGUAUUAAAUUUUAUAUUUUAUCUUAUAUUAUUAAAAUAAAUUCAACGAUAUCUAAUCUUUCACUUCUUUAUUUUUUUUUCACCAUGCAAUUAAAGUCUUAGGGUAAAAUUUUUUUGGAUAAUUUGUACUUUCAUAUUUUUUUUAGUAAAAAAAUUAGAAUGGAAAGUAAGAGAUUAAAAUUAUUAAAAUUAAUCAAUUUAGGUGUAACACCCCUUACCCGAGACCGUCUCCGGAAUCGAGUACGAGAUGUCAUCCAAUUUAACUUACCGAUUCGGAGCAUAAAAAUUUGCUUUUAAAAUUAAAUUCACUGUUCAUAACAAAACUGUCCACCUGCGCAACUGUCACUAAUUUAAUUAUAACUUGAGUUACGAAACUCAAAAUUUAAAUCCGUAAAUUUUCCAUGAAACUAGACUCAUAUUCCUACUUACCGUAAAAUUUUCAGAAUUUUUGACUUAUCACAUUAGUACAGUUUAUUCAUUAAAGUAUCCCCUGUUUCACAGCUCGACAGAUCUGACCUCUUGGCGCUAAAAAUCAAAUAUCUAAUUGUACAGAAUUCAUAUAAGGUUACCAUUAAUUUAUUUUGAAAAUAGACUCACUAAGGAAUCUAAACAUAUAAAUUAUGACCUAUAAUUAUUUCUGUAAAAUUUAUAAUGAUUUUCUAAAGUUAGAACAGGGGACUUCAAAAACCAUUCUGACCCUGUCUCACUAAAAUUUAAAUAUCUCAAAAUAUAAAAUUCCUUUGCCUACACCGUUUCUUUCAUGUAAAAAUAGACUUGAUAAGCUUUAAUUCUAUAUAUCAUACACCCUCUAAUUCUAUUUGUACUAUUUAUGGUGAUUUUUCACAUUCACGUCACUGCUGCUGUCAAAGAAACUGCUUCUUUGAAUUAGUUACCAUUUAAACAUACAUAACUCCAAAACAUAUUCUUUAAUAACUACUUCAAUAGCUAACAUUAGCCAUAUCAUUUGGACAUGCUCAAAAUGAUUAAGACUCUAUACAUGCCAUAGUUUAAACAUUUUGAAAAGCACAUAAUACCGAGAUGGUUAUGAUAGUGUGAUACGAGCUCCGACGGUCCACUAUUCGAUCAAGUUCAAAUCACUAUAAAACAAAGGAAAGAAAGAGAUGUGUAAGCUAUAAAUAGCUUAGUAAGUUACAUGUAAACAAUAAUUACUCAAUUAAUAAUUAACACUUUUAACAUAUAACUAAUCAAAACAUUUCUUAGCAAUUUCAAUCACUUACACAUACACAAUCUUACCAAUUCACUUGCAUAUACAUUUUCACACUUAACAUUUCAUAUUCACUUUAAUUCAUUAUUAAUCCCGUUGAACACUUGGAAUAUACACGGAUACGUAGAGAUUUAGCACAUAAGUGCCACACUGAUAUGUAGCCGAAGCUACCACUGAUAUGUAGCCGAAGCUACCACUGGAUGUAGCCAAAGCUACCACUGAAAUGUAGCCGAAGCUACCACUGAUCAAUAACACUGGAAAUGUCCACGGGUCUGCUCACACAAGCUGUCAGGUGUCUGCAACACAUGCUAGAUCACCCAUCACCCGGAACUCACCGUAACACUGUAACACUGUAACACUGGUCUAGUGACAUGUCACUUGUAUCCAAUUCCAUUCCUAAGUUCAACCGGGAAUUUACACUUAACACUUUAUUUUCAACACUUUAUCACUUGAAUAAUUCAUGAACAACUUUCCUUCCACAUUCAAUAUUAAUUCACAUAUCAAAUAUAAUUCACAAUUUAUACAAAUAUAACUAUUAUUUACAUAUAACUUACCUCGGAUGCAAAACGACUAUUUUUGUAAUUUAGUCGAUAACUUUCUCUUUUCCCCGAUCACUUGCACUAUUUCUUCUUUCUUGAUCUAUAUUAACACAAUUUAAUACAUUUUAUCAAUAUUCCAUUCAAAUACAAUUCAUACACAACAUUUUGACACAUUUACAUUUUUCCCCAUAACUUUUCAAAAAUUCCACUUUUGUCCCUAAGCUCGUAAAAAUAAAAUUCUCUAAAUUCUUAAAUUUCAAACUUCACUAAAUCAUAUUUCAUGCUCAUAACGGGCCUCAAUUUCACAAAAUCACAACUUUAUGCACACUUUACCAUCUUUCACAAUUUAGCCCUUUUUCAACAUUUUUCAUUGAAAUUCAUCUAGUAAAACUUGUAAUUAACACUUCAAACAUUCAUUAUCUAACAUCACUAAUCAAUUUACAAUUAUAUCAUGAAUGGGUCAAUUUUUAAACUUUAAUUUCAUUUAAAUUAAAUGGUAGAAACAUGAAAUUCAAGCUUCAAUAAGCAUAAAAAUACGAAAAUAAUUAAAAACAGGGCAAGAAAUCACUUACAAUUGAGCUUAGGAAAAUCAAAACCCUUAACUAUGGUAACUUGAAACUUUCGGCAGCAAGCUUCUGAGUUUUUUGAAGAAGAUGGACACUUAUUUUCUCUUUAUUUUGUCUUUUACCCAAUUUGGACAAAAAUGCCCUUGACCCAUUACUUAGAUAUUUUUCUAGAAAUACCCUUUUGUGUCCAUAACACUAAUUUAUGGUCUAAUUGCCACAUAAACACUUCCAAUUUCAUGCAAUAAUUCAAUUAAGUCAUUUAAUCACUAAUUAGACACACUUUUCAUUUUUCUCAAUUUAGUCCUAAAAAUUCAAUUAAGCACUAAAGCAUUAAAAUUUCCUAUCCAUAUUUUCACACAAUAUUUCAAUCAAUUAGUAACUAAUAAAAAUUUAUAAAAUUAAACUAUUUCACUUCGGAUUUGUGGUUACGAAACCACUAUUCCGAUUAGGCCCUAUUUCGGGCUAUCACAAUUCUCCCCCCCUUAGGGAUUUUCGUCCCCGAAAAUCUUACCAGUGAAUAAGUUGGGAUACUGUUUCCUCAUAGCCUCCUCGGUUUCCCAUGUUGCCUCUUCCACCCCAUGUCGUUGCCAUAACACUUUCACUAAAGCAAUUUCUUUGUUUCUCAACUGUUUCACUUCUCGUGCCAAGAUUCGAAUCGGUUCUUCUUCGUAUGUCAUAUCCGAUCGAAUUUCCACUUCAGUCGGUGAAAUCACAUGUGAUGGGUCCGAUCGAUAUCGCCUCAACAUAGAAACAUGAAACACAUUAUAAAUUCUUUCCAAUUCCGGUGGUAAAGACAAUCGAUAAGCCACUGGACCAAUUCUUUCUAUCACUUCAUACGGACCAAUAAAUCUUGGACUUAAUUUGCCUUUACGGCCAAAUCUCAAAAUUUUCUUCCAUGGAGACACUUUCAAAAAUACUUUAUCUCCCACUUGAAACUCAAUCUCUUUUCUUUUCAAGUCCGCAUACGACUUCUGUCGAUCCGAUGCAACUUUCAAACAAUCACGGAUUAUCUUCACUUUUUCUUCGGUUUCUUUUACCAAAUCGACUCCAUGUAACUAAUUUUCAUUAAGUUCAGUCCAAUAUAAUGGAGUCCGACACUUUCGUCCAUACAACGCUUCAUAAGGUGCCAUUUUUAUGCUUGACUGAUAACUAUUAUUAUAAGCAAAUUCCACCAAAGGUAAAUAUCUUUCCCAAUUACCUUCAAAUUCCAAUACACAACAUAUCAACAUGUCUUCGAGUAUUUGAAUUACUCUUUCAGACUGUCCAUCGGUUUGGGGAUGGAAUGCUGUACUAAAAUUUAAUUUAGUACCCAAUGCCUCUUGUAAUUUCUUCCAAAACCUUGAAGUAAAUCGUGGAUCUCUAUCAGAUAUAAUAGACAUAGGUACACCAUGUAAUCGGACUAUCUCAGCAAUAUACAAUUCAGCUAACUUGUCAAGUGAAAAACUCAUUCGCACAGGAAUGAAAUGAGCCGACUUAGUCAAUCGAUCAACUAUAACCCAAAUUGAGUCUUUCUUUUUCGGUGACAAUGGCAAUCCAGAAACAAAAUCCAUAGUAAUUCUAUCCCAUUUCCACUCGGGCACCAUAAUAGGUUGAAGUAAUCCUGAAGGUACUUGGUGUUCAGCUUUUACUUGUUGGCACACUAAACACUUUGUCACAUACUCGGAGAUAUCCCGUUUCAUACCCGACCACCAAUAAAAUUUCUUCAAAUCAUUGUACAUUUUUACACUACUGGGGUGAACUGCCAAAUGACUAUCAUGUGCUUCUUGCAAAAUUUUCUGAAUUAAAUCAACAUUUUUCGGAACACAUAUUCUAUCACGAAACAUUAAACAUCCAUCUGAAUCAAUCUGAAAAUCAGAAUUAUUGUCCACUGCACACUGAGUCUUUCUUCUUUGCAAUUCAUUAUCCACUUUCUGAGCCUCACAAAUUUCUUGAAAAAACAAUGGUCUAGCUUUUAACUCUGCAAACAAUGAUCCAUCUUCAGUCAAUGUUAAUCUCGUAUUCAAAGCUCUCAAAGCAAAGAGAGACUUUCUGCUCAAAGCAUCAGCAACUAUAUUAGCUUUUCCCGGAUGAUAAUCUAUCACAAGUUCAUAAUCUUUCAACAAUUCCAACCAUCUUCUUUGCCGCAAAUUCAGAUCUUUUUGUGUCAUAACAUAUUUCAAACUUUUAUGAUCUGUAAAAACACGACAUUUCUCACCAUAUAAAUAAUGACGCCAAAUCUUCAAAGCAAAGACAAUAGCAGCCAACUCUAAAUCAUGGGUAGGAUAAUUUCGUUCAUGCGGUUUCAAUUGUCGAGAAGCAUACGCUAUCACCUUUCCUUCUUGCAUCAAUACACAUCCAAGCCCAUUUAGUGACGCGUCACUAUAAACAACAAAUUCCUUUCCUGACUCAGGUUGCACUAACACAGGUGCCUCAGUUAAACACUUCUUUAAUUUCUCAAAACUUUGUUGACACUCCUCGGUCCAUUCGAACUUAACAUCUUUUUGCAACAAUUUUGUCAUCGGUGAAGCUAUCAUCGAAAAACCUUCUACAAAUCGACGAUAAUAUCCGGCUAAGCCCAGAAAACUCCUAACUUCAGAUACAUUUCUUGGAGGCUUCCACUCAACUAUUGCCGAUAUCUUAUUCGGAUCCACUCGAAUGCCAUCUCCCGAGACAAUAUGCCCCAAAAAUCCAACUUCACUAAGCCAAAAUUCACUUUUGCUAAAUUUAGCAAACAAUUUAUUUUCUCGCAGCGUUUGUAGCACAAUUCUUAAAUGUUCAGCAUGCUCGGCUUCACUUCGGGAAUAAAUAAGAAUAUCAUCUAUAAACACCACAACAAAUUUAUCCAAAUAGGGCCGGAAAAUUCGAUUCAUCAAAUCCAUAAAAAUAGCUGGAGCAUUAGUCAGACCAAAAGGCAUUACAAGAAAUUCAUAGUGGCCAUAUCGGGUUCUGAAAGCAGUCUUUGGCACAUCUGACUCUUUAACCCUCAAUUGAUAAUAUCCGGAUCUCAAAUCAAUUUUGGAAAACACUGUGGCAUCCUUUAACUGAUCAAACAAGUCAUCUAUUCGGGGUAAUGGAUACUUAUUCUUCACUGUCACUUUGUUAAGUUGACGAUAAUCAAUACACAAUCUCAAUGUCCCAUCAUUUUUCUUCACAAAUAGCACGGGAGCACCCCACGGAGAGUAACUUGGUCUAACAAAUCCUUUAUCUGUCAGCUCUUGUAAUUGCACUUUUAAUUCUUUUAAUUCAGUUGGUGCCAUUCUGUAGGGAGCAAUCGAUAUUGGAGCAGUACCUGGCAUUACUUCAAUACCAAACUCUACUUCUCUAAUCGGAGGCAAACCUGGCAACUCUUCUGGGAACACAUCUACAUAUUCACAUACCACUGGCACUGAUUCGAUCUUUAUUUCAGACACUUUUGUGUUCAACACAUAAGCAAGAUAUGCUUCACAACCAUUUUUCAAACAUUUCUGAGCAGACAUGGCAGAAAUCACAAUUGGCAUCACAUUUGACUUAUCUGUUUCAACCCGAAGAACUGUACCACUACCACACUUCAACUCAAGAAUUUUCUGACUGCAAUCUAUCUUGGCCUUAUGUAAUGUCAACCAAUCCAUUCCCAAAAUAACAUCAAAUUCAUCAAAUGGCAACAACAUUAAGUUGGCAGGGAAACACUGACCUUGUAUAAUCAAAGGACAAUUUUUGCAUAUUUUAUCAACUAUCAUAUGCUUGCCUAAAGGAUUCGACACUUUAACCACAUACUCAGUCAAUUCAACACACAAAUUCUUAUCAGACACUAAAUUCAUGCAUACAUACGAGUGAGUAGAACCAGGAUCAAUCAAUGCAAGAACAUUAGUGUCGUAAAGAGAAAAUAUACCAGUGAUCACAUCAGGAGAAGAUGCUUCCUCUCUAGCUCGGAUGGCAUAAGCUCUUGCUGGAGCUCCCACUUCAGAUCUUACAGUCGUGUCUUUUGUUACGCCUUUACCACUAGUUCUAAUCCCCACAUUUCUCUGUGGUCUUCCUCUAGUAGUCACACUGCUCGAUCUCACAUUCUGAAACUUUUCUAUCUCUUCUCUUUCCGGACAAUCUUUCACAAAAUGAUCUUGAGAUCCACAUUUAAAACAAGCUCGGCUGAUUAAAUAACAUUCCCCCAAAUGUCGUUUUCCACAAUGUUGACAUUCCGGUCUAGUAGGUUUAACACUACCUGUACUUGCCAUAGAAGUUGCCUGAGCUUUAGAACCUGAAUAUUGUCUUCCUCGAUCUCUUUGAAAAUUCACACUAGAAACAUUCGAUCGAGUAUUCAUUUCUUUAAACUUCUUCGCUUGAGACUGAAAUGGCUUGCCCAUUGAUCUUUUUCUUUCAUCUCUUGCUUCACUUUCCACCUUUCUUUUCUCUUUGCUCAAUUCUUCAGCCUUGAUAGCUCUUUCAACUAGUACCACUAACUCUUUAAUUUCAAGAAUUCCCACUAGCAAUCGGAUAUCCUCGUUUAAUCCAUCUUCAAACCUUUUACACAAUGUAGCUUCAUUAGAUACACACUCUUGGGCAUACUUGCUUAAUUUGACAAAUUCUCGCUCAUAUUCGGCUACCGUCAUGCGCCCUUGUUUCAAUUCAAGAAACUCUUUUCUCUUUUGAUCAAUGAAACGCUGACUCACAUACUUCUUCCGGAAUUCUUCUUGAAAGAAGUCCCAUGUAACUUUCUCUUUAGGCACCACUGACACUAAAGUUUUCCACCAAUUAUAAGCCGAAUCCCUCAGUAAUGAGAUAGCACAUUUGAGACUUUCUCCUGGAGUACAAGAUAAUUCAUCCAACACUCUGAUAGUAUUAUCAAGCCAGAACUCUGCUCUUUCAGGAUCAUCAUUUACAUUAGCUCGGAACUCUUCGGCUCCAUACUUUCGAAUUUUGUCCACUGGAGGCUUUGACAAUUUUAACACUUCAGUUUGUUGAGGAGCUAUGGGAACAGCUUGAGGAAUAGGAGGGGGCGGAGGAGGUUGAGCAUUAGGAUUAGUUCUAACAAACUCAGUGUACCAAUUGUUCAUCAUUUGGAGAAAAGCUUCUCGAGCCUCAUCUCCUUGACCCUGAGUCUCGAAUCGACUUUCAACAGGCACAUUACUUUGAGCAUCAUCAGCUGUAUCUCGGUUAGAAUCCAUUACUAUAAAAAAAACAUUUUAAGAUGUUAGGAGUCGUCACACUAUCAUUAUUCAAUUAUGGCAUGUAUAGAUAGUCUAUUACACUCGCUACGUUAGUCCGAGAAUCGACUAAACCGUAGCUCUGAUACCACUAAAUGUAACACCCCUUACCCGAGACCGUCUCCGGAAUCGAGUACGAGAUGUCAUCCAAUUUAACUUACCGAUUCGGAGCAUAAAAAUUUGCUUUUAAAAUUAAAUUCACUGUUCAUAACAAAACUGUCCACCUGCGCAACUGUCACUAAUUUAAUUAUAACUUGAGUUACGAAACUCAAAAUUUAAAUCCGUAAAUUUUCCGUGAAACUAGACUCAUAUUCAUACUUACCGUAAAAUUUUCAGAAUUUUUGACUUAUCACAUUAGUACAGUUUAUUCAUUAAAGUAUCCCCUGUUUCACAGCUCGACAGAUCUGACCUCUUGGUGCUAAAAAUCAAAUAUCUAAUUGUACAGAAUUCAUAUAAGGUUACCAUUAAUUUAUUUUGAAAAUAGACUCACUAAGGAAUCUAAACAUAUAAAUUAUGACCUAUAAUUAUUUCUGUAAAAUUUAUAAUGAUUUUCUAAAGUUAGAACAGGGGACUUCAAAAACCAUUCUGACCCUGUCUCACUAAAAUUUAAAUAUCUCAAAAUAUAAAAUUCCUUUGCCUACACCGUUUCUUUCAUGUAAAAAUAGACUUGAUAAGAUUUAAUUCUAUAUAUCAUACACCCUCUAAUUCCAUUUCUACUAUUUAUGGUGAUUUUUCACAUUCACGUCACUGCUGCUGUCAAAGAAACUGCUUCUUUGAAUUAGUUACCAUUUAAACAUACAUAACUCCAAAACAUAUUCUUUAAUAACUACUUCAAUAGCUAACAUUAGCCAUAUCAUUUGGACAUGCUCAAAAUGAUUAAGACUCUAUACAUGCCAUAGUUUAAACAUUUUGAAAAGCACAUAAUACCGAGAUGGUUAUGAUAGUGUGAUACGAGCUCCGACGGUCCACUAUUCGAUCAAGUUCAAAUCACUAUAAAACAAAGGAAAGAAAGAGAUGUGUAAGCUAUAAAUAGCUUAGUAAGUUACAUGUAAACAAUAAUUACUCAAUUAAUAAUUAACACUUUUAACAUAUAACUAAUCAAAACAUUUCUUAGCAAUUUCAAUCACUUACACAUACACAAUCUUACCAAUUCACUUGCAUAUACAUUUUCACACUUAACAUUUCAUAUUCACUUUAAUUCAUUAUUAAUCCCGUUGAACACUUGGAAUAUACACGGAUACGUAGAGAUUUAGCACAUAAGUGCCACACUGAUAUGUAGCCGAAGCUACCACUGAUAUGUAGCCGAAGCUACCACUGGAUGUAGCCAAAGCUACCACUGAAAUGUAGCCGAAGCUACCACUGAUCAAUAACACUGGAAAUGUCCACGGGUCUGCUCACACAAGCUGUCAGGUGUCUGCAACACAUGCUAGAUCACCCAGCACCCGGAACUCACCGUAACACUGUAACACUGUAACACUGGUCUAGUGACAUGUCACUUGUAUCCAAUUCCAUUCCUAAGUUCAACCGGGAAUUUACACUUAACACUUUAUUUUCAACACUUUAUCACUUGAAUAAUUCAUGAACAACUUUCCUUCCACAUUCAAUAUUAAUUCACAUAUCAAAUAUAAUUCACAAUUUAUACAAAUAUAACUAUUAUUUACAUAUAACUUACCUCGGAUGCAAAACGACUAUUUUUGUAAUUUAGUCGAUAACUUUCUCUUUUCCCCGAUCACUUGCACUAUUUCUUCUUUCUUGAUCUAUAUUAACACAAUUUAAUACAUUUUAUCAAUAUUCCAUUCAAAUACAAUUCAUACACAACAUUUUGACACAUUUACAUUUUUCCCCAUAACUUUUCAAAAAUUCCACUUUUGUCCCUAAGCUCGUAAAAAUAAAAUUCUCUAAAUUCUUAAAUUUCAAACUUCACUAAAUCAUAUUUCAUGCUCAUAACGGGCCUCAAUUUCACAAAAUCACAACUUUAUGCACACUUUACCAUCUUUCACAAUUUAGCCCUUUUUCAACAUUUUUCAUUGAAAUUCAUCUAGUAAAACUUGUAAUUAACACUUCAAACAUUCAUUAUCUAACAUCACUAAUCAAUUUACAAUUAUAUCAUGAAUGGGUCAAUUUUUAAACUUUAAUUUCAUUUAAAUUAAAUGGUAGAAACAUGAAAUUCAAGCUUCAAUAAGCAUAAAAAUACGAAAAUAAUUAAAAACGGGGCAAGAAAUCACUUACAAUUGAGCUUAGGAAAAUCAAAACCCUUAACUAUGGUAACCUGAAACUUUCGGCAGCAAGCUUCUGAUUUUUUUGAAGAAGAUGGACACUUAUUUUCUCUUUAUUUUGUCUUUUACCCAAUUUAGACAAAAAUACCCUUGACCCAUUACUUAGAUAUUUUUCUAGAAAUACCCUUUUGUGUCCAUAACACUAAUUUAUGGUCUAAUUGCCACAUAAACACUUCCAAUUUCAUGCAAUAAUUCAAUUAAGUCAUUUAAUCACUAAUUAGACACACUUUGCAUUUUUCUCAAUUUAGUCCUAAAAAUUCAAUUAAGCACUAAAGCAUUAAAAUUUCCUAUCCAUAUUUUCACACAAUAUUUCAAUCAAUUAGUAACUAAUAAAAAUUUAUAAAAUUAAACUAUUUCACUUCGGAUUUGUGGUUACGAAACCACUAUUCCGAUUAGGCCCUAUUUCGGGCUAUCACAUUAGGUAUUAGGUAUUUAUUAUUGUUCUUAAUUAAAAAAAAAUUGGAGGACCAAUUUUUUAUUUUUUUGACAAAAAAUAAAAUAAAAAAGGCAAACUACAUUAUGCAACCCAUUUUGCCCAAGUUGGGAUACUUCAAAAACUUGUAAACCUUGACUAUCCAAAUGAGUCAAUUUGAUCAGUCUAUUAGCUUCCUAAUUCUCUUCUCUAGGGAUGUGACAAAUACUCCAAUGCUGAAACCGGGAAAACCGCUGGAGAGUUCUCCUAAUCAAAGAAGAGUUAGAUCCUUUAUUGAGACCCUCUUGCAUGGCAGAUACCACUUCUAGACUAUCCGUCUGGACCUACACAUCAACAUAACCUCAAUUGCUCAAUAUGUCUAAGCCAUCUAAGAUGCCUCACAAUUCUGCCUCGCACACAGAGCAGCUUCUCGAGAAUCUAUUAAAACCAAAGACUCAAUUUCCAGCUUGGCCUCGCACAAUCCCUCCUACUGACGCAGAGCCAUCCUCAAGCUUUACGGACCCCUCAGUAUUUGAUUAGGCCCGGCUUCCAUGCAAGUUAGUGUACAUGUUUGAACUUGAGUUGUUAUUGUUGGGCCCCUAGCUAACAUCAUAAACUGUUUGGCCCAACUAUAAGAGAUUUUAAUAACAUCAAUACUACUCCAAGACGUCCCUUGAAAUAGAAAAAGAUUGUGAUUUUUCCAUAUUUGCCAUAUGAAUAUCCCAAAGAAGCAUUUCCAGGUCAAACCAAAUUUUUCAAUAAAAAAAACCUAAUACCCAAAUUGAUUAAUCUUAAUAACUCUGAUCUUACUUUUCAUUCCAAUUUUUUUUGAAAAAAAAAUCAGAAACCCUAAUACUUUAAUUACAUUGUGAAAAGAAAAAAAUGUGUGUUAUUUUUAUUUUAAUAAAAUAAAAUAAAUCUAAAUUCUAAAAUUUAGAACUAUUUAUUUUAAUCUAAUGAUUAAAAUCAUUUUAAUUCUAAUUGAUUAAGUGAUUAAAAAUUUUAAUAAAGAAAUUAAAAGAAUCUGUAUGAAUUAACUUAUUUGCUCAAUCUUAAUUUUAAUUAUUUGCAAGUGUACUACGUUAUGCACAUUUGUCCUAUUCAUUGUCUAGCUAAAUAAAUAAUGGAAAGAUGGAUUGAAGUCCAGUUUGGUAUAAAUUAAAACAUGAGGUGAAACAUAAUAGACUUUGGAUUGUUUGCUUGGCCGACAAUACUUUUAUACUUCAACUACAAACCUUACCAUUUAUAUAGCUUAACCAAUCAGAUAAUUAAUUUUCAAGACGAUUUGAAUAAUUUAAUAUAAAUAAAUUAAUACAAAUUCAAAAAUAAAAAAUAAAAAAUAAACAAUAAAAAAUCAUAAAAUUAUAAAAAUUAGUUAAGGGAUUUUUAGUCUAGGUCCAAAUGAUGUGACCAACCAAUUUAUAAUAGGGUUAGAUAACAUAUGUUAUAAGGUAGUAUAGUUUUGAGUCGCAUAUGAAUUUUCUCUCUCAAAAUAGACUCUCUUUUUUUCUUUUUAUAACCACGUGUUCUUAUUUGUUUUAUAAUUUGAGCCUAAUCAUGUUUAGACCGGGAACGAUAUUCAAGUAAAGUCUUUUCAACAAUAAUGACUUUGAUUCGAACUCUAUGCAAAUAUCCGAGGAAGAAACUUAGUGUCACUUCUUCCAAUCAUUUUGAUAGAACUUUUAAAAUUUAAAAAUUUCAAAUAAAUAGAAUGAUUUAACUGAAAUAAUUUAUUUUAGAAAAAUUUAGUAUUAAGGUGAGAAUGAGAUAAUAUGGUUUCAACCCGUAUGUUUAAUAAUAAUUUUAAAAAAAAAAUCUACUUAUUAAUAAAAAAUAUUUCGUGGUUGAAGUUAAAUUAAGUGGAGAUUAGGUGAUAAAGUUAUGAGUCCAUGAGAUCACCAUUCUCUUAAUGUCCAUUUUGAUCCCUCCAACAGUUGAAUCAAUACUUAUUUCCACUAAAUCAGUAAAUCCUAUGAAAAAAAAGUGAACGAUUCUUGCGGUGGGCGGGGUUCCAAAAAUUAUUUCCUUGCGUUGAGUUCCAUGGCAAUCAUGGUAUACUACUACGUAGAAAUCAAUUGCAAAUGCAUCUAAUAUCAUAUUCAUAUAUAUAUGCAAGCAGUUUUGUCACAUUUCAUUUGUUGCAAGCUGCCUAGCUCUUUGAGAUCCUUAAAAAAAUAGCGAUGGGAGUUUUUGUCUGCAUAACUUCUAAUAGAAAAACAAUGGCCGGCCACGACAACUCCCUUGUAUUUCAUCUUGCCUUGUCCAUUCCGUUGUCGUCAACUUAUACCAUGAUUCUCCAAUAUUCCAUAAAAUCCGCAGCUGAGGUUCCUUGAUAUCCCUAUCUUUAACAGCCAUGGCGAACUUGAGCCUCCUCCUCUUACACUUUCUUAUCUCAUCUCUCUCGGUCUCAGGCUCAGCAGCCACUGAUCAGAGAAAUAUUAUGUCUUGUCUUAACUAUUAUAAUAUCAGCAACUAUACCAUCUCCUCUAACGUACAUAAUCAUGACUACUCUAUUCUUCUCAACUUUUCCAUUCAAAAUCUUCGUUUUGCUGAACCCACAAUUCCUAAGCCAAUAGCUAUUAUCUUACCGGAGAAUAAAGAGCAACUUAUCAACACUGUCGUGUGUUGUACAAUAGGGCCAUGGGAGAUUAGAGUAAGGUGUGGUGGCCAUAGCUAUGAGGGUACUUCAUCGGUAGCUAGUGAUGGGGCUCCAUUUGUGAUUAUAGACAUGAUGAAUCUAAACCGUGUUUCCGUGGAUUUGGGAAAUGAAACAGCAUGGGUGGAAGGUGGUGCAACACUUGGUGAGACAUACCAUGCUAUUGCCGAGUCAAGUGACAUUCAUGGAUUCGCAGCAGGAUCAUGUCCUACGGUAGGGACUGGUGGUCAUAUUGGUGGUGGUGGCUUUGGGUUUUUGUCUAGGAAAUAUGGGCUAGCAGCUGAUAAUGUGAUUGAUGCUCUUCUCCUUAAUGCAGAGGGUGAAUUAUUAGACAGGCAAGCCAUGGGAGAAGAUGUAUUUUGGGCAAUUAGAGGUGGUGGUGGUGGCAUAUGGGGAAUCGUUUACGCUUGGAAAAUUAAGUUAUUGAAAGUACCAAAAACCGUAACCAGCUUCAUUGUGUCUAGACCGGGCACCAUAGCACAUGUAGCCAAUUUAGUAAACAAAUGGCAACAUGUUGCUCCAAAUUUAGAAGGUGAUAUGUAUUUGUCAUGCGCUGUUGGUGCUGGCCUGCCUCAGGCUAAGUCUAUUGGCAUAUCAGCAACAUUUAACGGCUUCUUCCUCGGUCGAAAAAGAGAAGCUGUUUUGAUCCUAGGUCAGGUUUUUGCCGAAUUGGAUGUCUCCGAGGAAGCUUGCAAGGAAAUGAGUUGGAUUGAAUCAGUGUUAUUCUUCUCUGGUCUAGGUGAUGGAGCCAUAGUCUCAGACCUCAAGAACAGGUACCUGCAUGACAAGCAUUACUUCAAGGCCAAAUCAGACUACGUAAGGAAUCCAAUUUCUCUUACGGGCAUAAGAACUGCCAUCGACAUUCUUGAAAAGCAGCCCAAAGGAUAUAUAAUCAUGGACCCUUAUGGUGGCAUAAUGAACAACAUAAGCAACGACUCAAUUGCUUUUCCUCAUAGAUAUGGGAAUUUGUAUACAAUACAAUACCUGGUCGAGUGGCAUCAAGAAGAAAAAAACAGAAGCAAUGAAUAUAGAGAAUGGAUAAGAGAUUUUUAUGAUGCAAUGGCUAGCCAUGUUUCAUGGGGUCCAAGGGCAGCUUAUGUAAAUUACAUGGACUUUGACCUUGGGGUGAUGGAAUUAAUUAACACUAGUGUCCUAUCUGAAGAUACCGUUGAGAUGGCUAGAGUUUGGGGUGAAAAAUACUUCUUGAACAACUAUGAUAGGUUGGUGAAAGCCAAGACACUGAUUGAUCCAAACAAUGUUUUCAAAAACCAACAGGGUAUUCCUCCCUCCACCACUACUGGUCUCAAGGCACGUACUUUCUAGCCUUGGAAAGGUUAUACUUGUCACAUAUACUUGUUUGUUAGUUGAAAACACAAAUUCUACCUAGGGUGUACUAAAUAUGUAAUUGUCAAAUAUAAGAUUUACUGUAAGUCCAUGUAACAUAUUAAAAAAAUCAUUCCCUAUAUUUUAGUUUCUGUAUGUAAAUUACUCAUUUGCCACGUGUAGUACGUUAUGCACAUUUGUCCUAUUCAUUGUCUUGCCAAACAAAUCAUGGAAAGAUGGAUUGGAGUUCAGUCUAUCGUACAAAUUAAAACAUGAGAUGAAACACGACAGACUUUGGAUUGUUUGCUUGGCCGGCAGUACUUUUAUACUUCAACUACAAACCUUACCAUUUAUGUAGUUUAACCAAUCAUAUAAUUUAUUUUCAAGACGAUUUGAAUAAUUUAACAUAAAUAAAUUAAAAAAAUAUAAAAUUAUAAAAUUCAGUUAAGGGAUUUUUAGUUUAGAUCCAACUGAUGUGACCAACCAAUUUAUAAUAGGUUCAAAUAAAAUUGUUAUAAGGUAGUACGGUUUAGAGUCUCAUAUGAAUUUUCUCUCUCAAAAUAGAGUUUUUUUUUAAUUUUUUUUAUAACCAAGUGUUUUUAUUUGUUUUACAAUUUGAGCUUAAUCAUGUUUGGAUUGGGAGUGAUAUUCAAAUAAAGUUUUUCCAACAAUAAUGACUUUGAUUUAAAGUCAAUACAAUUACUUGAGGAAGGAACUCAAGUCACUUCUUCCAAUCAUUUGUUAUUUCAAAAUAGAACUUUUAAAAUUAUAAAAUUUCAAAUAAAAUAUAAUGAUUUAACUGAAAUAAUUUGUUUUAGAAAAAUUUAGUAUUAAGGCAUGAAUGGGAUAAUAUGAUUUGAACAUGUAUAUUUAAUAAUAAUUUUAAAAAAACCUACUUAUUAAUAAAAAAUAUUUUGUGGUUGAAGUUAAAUUAAGUGGAGAUUAGGUGAUAAAGUUAUGAGUCCAUGAGAUCACCAUUCCUCUUAAUGUCCAAAUUGAUAUCUCCAACAGUUGAAUCAAUACUUAUUUCAACUAAAUCCUAUGAAAAAACUGUACGAUUCUUGCGGUGGGCGGGGUUACAGAAAUUAUUUCCUUGCGUUGAGUUCCAUGGCAACCAUGGUAUUCUACUACAUGGGAAUCAAUUGAAAAUGCAUCUAAUAUCAUAUUCAUAUUAUAUGCAAGCAGUUUUGUCACAUUUCAUUUGUUGCAAGCUGCCUUGCUCUUCGAGAUCAUCCUUAAAAAAAUAGCGAUGGGAGUUUUUGUCUGCAUAACUUCUAAUAGAAAAACAAUGGCCGGCCACGACAACUCCCUUGUAUUCCAUCUUGCCUUGUGCAUCCCGUUGUCGUCAACGUAUACCAUGAUUCUCCAAUAUUCAAUAAAAUCCGUAGCCGAGGUUCCUUGAUAUCCAUAUCUUUAACAGCCAUGGUGAACUUGAGCCUCCUUCUCUUUCUUAUCUCAUCUCCCUCGGUCUCGGGCUCAGCAUCCCCUGAUCAGAGAAAUAUUAUGUCUUGUCUUAACUCUUAUAAUAUCAGCAACUAUACCAUCUCCUCUAACGUACAUAAUCAUGACUACUCUAUUCUUCUCAACUUUUCCAUUCAAAAUCUUCGUUUUGCUGAACCCACAAUUCCUAAGCCAAUAGCUAUUAUCUUACCGGAGAAUAAGGAGCAACUUAUCAACACUGUCGUGUGUUGUACAAAAGGGCCAUGGGAGAUUAGAGUAAGGUGUGGUGGCCAUAGCUAUGAGGGUACUUCAUCGGUAGCUAGUGAUGGGGCUCUAUUUGUGAUUAUAGACAUGAUGAAUCUAAACUGUGUUCCGUGGAUUUGGGAAAUGAAACAGAUGGGUGGAAGGUGGUGCAACACUUGGUGAGACAUACCAUGCCAUUGCCGAUUCAAGUGGCAUUCAUGGAUUCUCAGCAGGAUCAUGUCCUACGGUAGGGACUGGUGGUCAUAUUGGUGGUGGUAGCUUUGGGUUUUUGUCUAGGAAAUAUGGGCUAGCAGCUGAUAAUGUGAUUGAUGCUCUUCUCCUUAAUGCAAAGGGUGAAUUAUUAGACAGGCAAGCCAUGGGAGAAGAUGUAUUUUGGGCAAUUAGAGGUGGUGGUGGUGGCAUAUGGGGAAUCGUUUACGCUUGGAAAAUUAAGUUAUUGAGAGUACCAAAGACCGUAACCAGCUUCAUUGUGUCUAGACCGAGCACCAAAGCACAUGUAGCUAAUUUAGUAAACAAAUGGCAACAUGUUGCUCCAAAUUUAGAAGGUGAUAUGUAUUUGUCAUGCGCUGUUGGUGCUGGCCUGCCUCAGGCUAAGUCUAUUGGCAUAUCAGCAACAUUUAACGGCUUCUUCCUCGGUCGAAAAAGAGGAGCUGUUUUGAUCCUAGGUCGGGUUUUUGCCGAAUUGGGUGUCGCCGAGGAAGCUUGCAAGGAAAUGAGUUGGAUUGAAUCAGUGUUAUUCUUCUCUGGUCUAGGUGAUGGAGCCAUAGUCUCAGACCUCAAGAACAGGUACCUGCAUGACAAGCAUUACUUCAAGGCCAAAUCAGACUACGUAAGGAAUCCAAUUUCUCUUACGGGCAUAAGAACUGCCAUCGACAUUCUUGAAAAGCAGCCCAAAGGAUAUAUAAUCAUGGACCCUUAUGGUGGCAUAAUGAACAACAUAAGCAACGACUCAAUUGCUUUUCCUCAUAGAUAUGGGAAUUUGAAUACAAUACAAUACCUGGUCGAGUGGCAUCAAGAAGAAAAAAACAGAAGCAAUGAAUAUAGAGAAUGGAUAAGAGAUUUUUAUGAUGCAAUGGCUAGCCAUGUUUCAUGGGGUCCAAGGGCAGCUUAUGUAAAUUACAUGGACUUUGGCCUUGGGGUGAUGGAAUUAAUUAACACUAGUGUCCUAUCUGAAGAUACCGUUGAGAUGGCUAGAGUUUGGGGUGAAAAAUGCUUCUUGAACAACUAUGAUAGGUUGGUGAAAGCCAAGACACUGAUUGAUCCAAACAAUGUUUUCAAAAACCAACAGGGUAUUCCUCCCUCCACCACUACUGGUCUCAAGGCACGUACUUUCUAGCCUUGGAAAGGUUAUACUUGUCACAUAUACUUGUUUGUUAGUUGAAAACAUAAAAUUCUACCUAGGGUGUACUAAAUAUGUAAUUGUCACAUAUAAGAUUUGCUGCAAGUCCAUGUAACAUAUUAAAAAAAUCAUUCCCUAUAUUUUAGUUUCUUUAAAUUUUCGUUCCCUGACAUUAACAUUCUUGUUAAUAGAAUAACAUGGCUUAAUCUUGAUUGACGGGCAUUAAAUUAAUUUAAAAAAUUUACUGGUCUUGAAAACAAAUAAAAUAAUGUGAAUUAAUGAUGAUUCGCGUGUACUACAAAUAGUUUAAACACAACAAUUAUAUACAAGAAAAAUAAAUAAAUUUGGAACAUUUUAGGGGUAAAAACAAAAUCAACUUUUUACCUCUACUCAUUUUUUAAAAUUGUUGUUUAGCUUUUUAGUAUUUGAUCAAUGAAAUGUAAAUCACUAAUAAGUCUUGUCAUUGCACAAUGUCUUGUUUCGUGAGAUCUCAGACAGAAUCGUACCCAAGAAAACCUGCAUACCUGAGGAAAAAAAAAUAAAAAGACAGAAUUAAAAGUUGAUUAAAAUUGCAAAAUUAAAUAAAUUGCGAAAAUUAAAAUAGAGAAUAUAAAAAUAAACAGUUUGGGAAAAGAGAGAGUUUCUCAUGUGGCGAGAUUCUAGCCUCCGGUUGUCUCGAUCCUCCUUGGGUUCAAUCCUAAGCUUUUAGGUGAUCAUUCUCGAAUUAAAUAAGCCUGUUAUAGUAGAAGAGGACGCCUACGACCACCAACUCCACUUAGGGUGUAAACUUAUAAUUUAGAGGAACCUGACUUUAGCUAACCGUCGCUCUUGUGGGACCGUCUUACACUAGAUCAUCACUUCCCAAUGACGAAUUCCAUGCCAUUUUGUCUCUUGGGCUUGACAACCACUGACGCGGUAAGCUAACGAACCAACUGUGCAACCUUCCCAAAAUAUACAAAGUAGCCGUUCCUUGCACAAGUUGAAAAGAUCACUUUUGAAGGGACAUGGACGGAAGCGUCAGUCCCGUAAUGCGGAGAAGUGAUGAAUACUCGUUGAGAAGGUUAAGAGAGGAUUCUAAGCCUUAUGAACUUUUUUUGAGGAUUUUUGAUAACCUUUGCCUAGAUGGAUUUAGUGGCUCAUGUUGGGGAAAGAAAUAGACUAAAUAAAAACAAUGAAAUUUUAUUGAAUAAAGAAAAGAACAAGGCUAAGAUUUCUUUUUGGGAGGAAUUUUUUACAGAAAAGAUGAUAUGAAAUUUGAGUUACUCCAUCCCCUAUUUAUAAUAUUAGGAAACUUAGUCUAGUCCUACUUAAAUUCUAAAAGAUAAAUACAGAUAAUUAAAAUAAAUAGAGAUAAAAGCUAAAAUAAAAUCUAAAUAAUAAUAUCUAACAAUUAUCCUAAUAUAAUUAAAAAUUAAAUAGAGUCUUGUGUUUAUAAAAUAUCUCUUAUUUACAUUUUUUCCCUUAUGUCUUCCAUGCUUGCAUUUUCGGCACCACCUUUUUUCCUAUGUUGCAUGUUGGCCCACUUUAUCUCCAAAUUCAUGCUUUCCACCCUUAAAUUUACUUUUUCCUUCAAUUUAGUCCUUAAAAGAUAAAAGACCAUAAAUAGCCCAAAUUAGUAGGAUCAUACUCAAAAUAAAUAUACAAUUAACACAUAAAAAUAUGUCGUUCUAGAAUAUUAUCACAUAUAUGGAUUAAAGUGUCAAAUUUUCAGGCAUACAUAAUCUAAAAUAUUUUUUUAGAUAGUAGAAGGAUUAAAAUUAACUUAUGACAUGGUAUAGGGACUUGUACGUUAUCUACCAUUUUUUUAAAAUUGUUUUUAGCUUUUCCUGGACGGAAAUGUAGAAUCUUAUUAUACUGACCAGAAUAGAGCGAGAACAGGUUUGUGGUGACAGAUUUGAUUUGAACAAUAGAAGAGUCUUUUAGAAUUCUGUAACUUUAUUUAAGAAAUUUCGGGGACAAAAUUUUCUAAGGGAGAGAGAGUUAUAACAACUUGUUUUUUUAGUGGUGUUAGAAAUUGUGAUUUCGGGACCACAAAUCUGAUGAGUAAGUUCAUAAAAUUAGUAUUUAAAUUAUACGAGUCAAUAAUACUUUUUAUAUUAAAUUUUGAUUUGAUGACUUUUAAUUAAUUGAAUUAACGAUUAGAAUAAGUGGUUCAGUCCAAAAGUCAAGUGGUUUUUGAAAAUGAGGUAUUAGGACCCAUUACCAUAAUUUAAGGUCGUAAAUAUUUUUAUUAAAUUUUUAUAGAGUCGUAUUAUAGGUGAAUUGAGGUUUGGUCUGGUAAUUUUGAUGAUUGGUUGCUUAAUUAAGGUAAAAGGAUUAAAUUGUAAAAAAGGUAAAAGUUAAUCACUAUAGAUUUAAAUUAGUAAAGAGACAAAAAUGGUAAUUAUACCACGUCCAAAAAGUCCAAGUGGUGGUGGAUAUGAUUAAUCCAAUUGCUUUUGGGAUAUUUGGUCAUUUAGUCCUAAUUAAUUUAGGGUUAAAUUGAAAUUAAGCUUGUUUAGUUGAAAAUUUAAAAUAAUUGAAGGAUCAAUUGUGCAAUUAAACCCCUUAGACGAUAAUUAUACCAUAUUCUCAUUUGAUGGACAAAUAUGGACAUGUUUUAUUUAUUUAUAUUAAGUUAUAAUGUAGAGGUUAAAAUUGUAAAUUAAGUAAAUAAAAGGUUAAAUUAAAAGAAUGCUAAAUUAAGUUAUCAUCGUCCUUUCUUUUCUUUUGGAAACUGAAUGGCCAUUGUUAUGGGAGAAGAAAGCUUCGGUCAAGCCAAGGUUGGGGUAUGUAAGUGAUCAUUGAUCUUGUUUUUAGUAUUUUUUUUAUGUUUUUGAGCUUGUAUUAACUUUGACCUAGCUAACCUAGAGACUAAUUUGUAAAACUAUUAAAAAUUAUAGAUUAUGCCAUUGAUGAGUUUGAGUUGUUCUUGAAGUUUUAUGGUAGAUUAUUAAGCUUGGUUGUUAAAUAUGACUAUUUUGUAAAGUAAGUUUUAUUAAUUUUAAUGUUUAAGGACUAAAGUGUUAAAGUGAUAAAAUUAAAAGGACUUGAUGUAAAAUAAAAACAAAUAUGGGUUGUAGUGAGUGCUAUACAAUUUGAGUAAACUUAGUUUUAGUUAAAAUUGGUUAAAUUACGAGUUUUGAGCUUAGGGACUAAAUUGCAUAAAAGUAAAAUGUUGGGGAAAUUUUGUAAAAAGUUUUAAAAGGAUUUAAUUGCAUAAAAUAAGUUAAUUUUACUAUUGGAAUUAGUUAAUUGAAUGAAAUUAUUAUUCUAGAUCAAGAAUGGGUUGAAAAUAGAGGCAUAUAGAAGUUGCUGAAUAGAAGUUGUUGAAUAGUCCUUGAACCUUUGUCAUUGCUAUAGUAUAGUCUGGUAAGUUCGUUCAUUCAAUUUUAAUACAUAUUAAAUGUAUAUUAUAUGAACUUAAUUUUAGAAUGAUGGAUAAUACCGAUGUAUGUAUUUGGGAAUGAAAAUAAUGAAUUGAUAUGGUAUCGAUCACUAAUUAGAAUAUUCUGAGUCGAUGAACGUAUGAUAGAGUACGAUUAACAUGCCAAUAAGUUGUUUUGAGCCCGGUAUGGGAUUGGUAUGAGAUGUGAUGGUGAUUUCUGUAUAUCCUCUAUUCACUUAAUAUACCGAGGUCCUGCAUAUGUUAUGGACUAUUGUGUUAUAUUACAGUGUUUUUCUGGUGUGUUACGGGGGCGGAUGUUAGCCUACGGGCUAAGCACUCAGUGUCGAGGUGUGUUAUCAGUUGGAUUGGCUAGUAUAAGUGUCUGGUGUGUUUUGGAUGGUUAACUAUGAACUCGUAUCCAUAUAACGUUCAUCGGACAAUGUUUUAUUGAUCGUUGAAUGUUAUUGAAAUAUGAGAAAUUGAUUUGUACUAUUGUUUGAGCAUUACUCACUUGUUGUGAGUUGUGAUUGAUAGGAACUCUGUUAGUAACCUUGUUAUUUGAAUUAUUAUUUUAAUUUGGCAUGCUUUGUCGUUUAAUUGACGAACUUACUGAAUUUUAUGUAAGCUUACUUGUGUCAUUGUAUUUUUCUUUAUAGAUUACAUUUUUGUGGAAAUCGAGAGAUCGGAUUAACUGGAAGAAUCACACCAUCCGAGAAGCUUUUGGUAGACCUUGAGUAUAACCUUGGCUUAUAUGGCAAGUAAUAGGCUAAUGGUGGAUAUUUUGUGAUAGUCUUAAGCACAUAUGUGGUAGCUUGAUGUACUUGUAAUAUUGUUGUGUCAAGUAACUAUUUGAGGCAUGUAUGCUUAAUUCUAGUGAAGGCAUGAGUGGUUGAUGCUAAUUAAGCAUGAAUUGGUAAGUUUUUUUAUUUGAUGUGGUAUGCAUGGGUGGCUUGAAAUGUAACAGCUCAUUUUUCAGUAAAAUUGGAAUAGUGGUUUCGGGACCACAAAUUCGAUCUAAAAAUAAGGCUUAUUUUUAUUUCAUUAUAUAGUCCAUAUUAUAAUAGGCAUGAAGUGUGAAAAUUUUAAUACGAAAGUUUUAUCGAUUAAGUGUUUAAUUACGAGAAGGACUAAAUUGCUUAAAAUGCGAAAGUUGAAUUCUAGUAGCUAUAAGGAUUAAAUAGCCACAUGAUUCAAAUCUAGAGGUCCUUAUAUGGUAAUUAGACCAUUAAAGAAAAGUAUGUAGAUUCUUGGUGACUCAUCCAUGGAAAUAUAGAAAAAGGGCAAUGACUAAAUUGAAAAUUGCAAAAUGCUUAAUUAAUUAAAAGAUGAAAAGAAAAUAUCAUCUCAUUUUCUCAUCAUUUUCAACCUAAAAACACAUGGAAACCCUAGGAGAGAGAGAAAA
rnacentral:lncRNA from 1 species